rnacentral:lncRNA from 1 species
AGUUUUACAACAAUCCGCCUUGUCAGUAUGGUACAAGCACAGGCAAUGCCGAUAACCUCUUGAACAGUUGGAGUAAUGAUUGGGCCCCCCAUCCAGGCGUUAAUAAAUUAUUCCUGGGAUUACCUGCAGCCCCUGAGGCAGCACCUAGUGGCGGUUACAUCCCACCUGAAGUGCUAAUUAAUCAGAUUCUUCCCGUUGUGCAGAGCUAUCCCAAGUAUGGAGGGGUCAUGCUUUGGAGCAGAUUCUAUGACCGAAACUACAGUCCAGCAAUCAGGCCUUAUGUUAACGGUGAUCCUCUGACUUAUACAACCAAGUCCGUGAAAAAAUCCCAUGCUGUAGCAUGAGUUCCUCUCAUUAUCUGCCACGAGAUGAAAUGUAGUCCUGGCUGCUUAUGCCAGAGACCAAUCUACUAAUGAAUAAUGGGCUAUGAGUUCCCCAAUCGAUUAAAAUGUUCUGUAAAUUUCUUCCCGUUUUAAUCGCUCUUUCUCUCUCUCGAAUGAAGGGGUACAAGAUCUAGUUUGAAGAACCAGUUGCACCUUCUCUUUUUUCUUUUUCUUUUUUUUUUUUUUAAUACAACUUCUUCUAGAUAAUGAUUUUUUGAUAAUAUUCAAACCACAUUUAAAUUGAAAAAGAAAAUGUUAAUUUGCAAUUGAAGUUUGAGGAACACUAUUUCCCCUCAUAUUUCAGUGCAUUACAUGGCCAACAACCUCAGAUGAUAUGCAAAUAAACUCUUGCAUGCAUGCUCAUCAAAUUUCAUAUACAAUUUUGUAGCCUACAGAGAAGUUUACGCAUGGAUGUUUAAGUAUCAGAUAAGCUUGGGCGAAGACCAAAUUUUGUGUACUAUUGAAACAUGGAACAAGAUUUCAAUCCCAUACAUAACCUCUAAAAUCACAUACAACUAUAAUUUUUGUUUCUUGUUUUUUUUUUUUCCUUGGAUGGUAUUAAAAGGUGUACAAUCUGUCUGCCUCAGAAUCACUUCCGGUCAGUGCGAGUCACUUUGAGAGUUAUGACAAUUUCACUAACCUCCCAUCAAAUCUAGAAAACAACAAUUACCUCCCCUCUUCUUAGAUUUGGUCUAAUGAUUUCAAGGUAUUUGGUAUACAUUGCCUUCUCAUGACCCACAACAAAGGGACAGCAAUCCAAGGGCUUUCGUUUUUAUUAAUUUUUUUGGAGUACAAAUUAAUUUCUCAUUAGCAUGUUAUGAAGCAUAUGAUAUUCUUGUUCGCAACAAUUUCUUUCUACGAAAAAAAAAGAACAGAGAGAAGGGGGGAAAAAAAGACUCAACUGAUGAACAUUUAAAAUGGAAACUCAUGUCCAUCCAUAAAUUAUGACAAGCUUGGUAUCUUAAAGAGAGGCGUCCUUGGGUUUAUAUUAUUUAACCAAAAUUGGUUAAAGUAAUAAGGUUGGCUUGAUUAAAAUUAUGUUUAUCAUAAUUGGGUCAUUUCUUAAAAUAUUGGCCUUAACAAAGAUGAUCCAUUCUUGAAAUUUGCGUUCUAGUAAAGCCAUUCUUGGGCAGAUGAUGACUAAGACUCUGUUUUUUGGGCUGAAUGAAACGGACGAUGCUUCAAUUUGAGGGAAAAAAAUAGGCCUUGCAUCAUGAAAUCAGUUUAUUAUUUAGCCACCAAAUAAGUAUAUUGAAUAGUUUGGAUUUUAUAACUAAUUAUAAGUAAUUGUGUCUUAAUUUUAGCUAUAAAAGUCUUUCACUUAACUAGUUAACUUAGAACACAUAUGAUGACUUCUUCCCUUGUCUCUAAAAUUUGUGAAAUUGGGCUCACAAAGAAGAUACUAAAGAAUAACAACCUUCAUUGGGAGCCGAGUACAAUUAUUUCAAAACAGCGCGCAUUACAUUCACAAAUCUGUCAAACUUUAUCUUCCAAUGCCCAAUAAACUACUGGUAUCCAAGUCCAAGAUUGCUCCAAAAUUCUAACCCUGCCCUUUUUCACAAAAUUUCAGUUUAGUCCAAAUGGAUUCUACACUAUGGUGCAACCACACAGUACAAAGGAAAGUUAAGGGAAAGCUUAUAAACGAGUGCAUGGUACGGUCUUAAGACUUCAGCCCAGACAUACUCUUAUGUUAUGUCAUAUGUAAAGGAAAAUAACUCAAAUUUUAGGCUCUGAAUCAUAUGUGAGUAGGCCUGCUUUUCUUUUAGUGCUUUAGUUUUUUUUUUUUGGUUAAAUUAUGGAAAUUACCACCUACUCAAUAUGGUCUUUUCUAGAGCAAUUCAUGGUAAUUAUCGAGUCUGAAACUACCAAAAAUUAGUACUGCUAAAGCUAUGUUUCAUAACCCUAAAAUACACCAAAGUCCAUACAUAUUACUAGGGGACUUUAUAUGUAAAAUUUAUAUAAACAAAAUAAGAUCUCAAAAUGAAGUACUUCAUAGGUAUGAUAAAAUUUAUAUGUUUCUAUUGAGACAAUUAAGCUGAGAAGUCUUUCACAACAAAUCUCUUUGAGGACCAGUUUCCCUCUCCUCACCAUAUCUCCUUACCUACUAACCUUCGCACGUUUUACCGUCUGUCCCAAGCCCGCCUCCCUCACACUCUCUUUUAGGAGAAUAAAAUUGUUUGAGAGCGAAAGCUCCCAUAUAUCAAAAGCCAGUGCUGUUCAAAUGUGUUUUCUCUCACCAUCUCCCACAAGAAGUGCGUGUUAAUACCAAUCACCUGAAUAAUAUGAAUAUGAGAAUGAACUCCUAAUGUCAUCACAAGAAUUGGUGGUAGUUCGGCUGGAGUAUAACAGUAAUACUUGUGGUAGUUGGGUUGGGGCAGGACAUAUGCAUAGUAGCUUUUGGUAGAUGAUAAAUAUAACACCUUUACCAUUUUUGUUAACAUGGUAUAUUUAUUCUUUUUCCUCUCUAUUCGAUAUUUGUUAAUUGUUAUACACUUAUACAUAGAUAGCAAGUGAGAAAGGGUCAGGCUAGUUUCAGAUAACGUGAAUAAUGUGGUUUACUUUCACUUAGUCACUCAUCGCACAACUCCUACUUUACUUCCUAUUUUGGUGGUAAUGUUCCCCAAACAUUACUUAUUGAGUAAUAGAUAAAAUUUAAUCAUGGCAAGAGCAUUUUUUUUUCGGACAUGAUAAAUCUACUCUACUCUAUACUAUGGGGAGGGGGUGAUCCAACGGGCCCAAGGGGAGGAUCCGGGGGGACUGAACUUGGGUGCCUACUAGUGUGAAUAAGUUAGAAAAUAUUUCUCAACACCCACUACCCUUAGGGGCUAGUAGUUGAGGCAAGGUCAAGUUAGUAUUUCACCAAGAAUUUGAUUUCUAACUACCAAGUUAAUAACUAAACAAUGUUUGUGUUUGGAUUACACAUUAUUUCCACCUUAUUUACACACACUGACUUGCUUAUAUCACCAACACAUUUUUUAAUCAUAUUUUUAUCUCACAUACAUCACAUCAAAAAAGUGUUACAGUAUUUUUUCACAAAAUUAUCUCAAAUAAGUUACUAUCCAAAUUGCUUAUGAUAAAAUAUUCCAUCUUCACCAAUUUUUUUUAGAAAGGGUUUUUCUUUGCCUUAUGACCAGAAGAAAAGAGCUCCAACCUGUUCUACCAGUAUGGAGCCAACCCCUUCGUUUCGUCAUGUCCCUAACUUAACUAGAUUGACCGGGGCACAAAGAGUUUACACUAGGGCUUCUAGUUCACAUGUUCUCUUUGCAAUCAUAGCCUUCUUGUCUCCAUCGGUUCCUUAGAAAUAGUCUUAUUGAUUUACUAGAAAUACACCCACUCAGGAAAGCCCGACUAAUCGCGGCAGGAGCCAUACUUAAAAGUAGCCGGUGGUGUUUCUAUGAUCAUAUACGUAAUUAUGGAGUAUUGAGUUAUGAGCUUGAGGGAACUCCAAUUAUUAAACAACGAGUGAAGGGACUAUCGGGUGAUAGGCCCAAACGGUAGUCUUAAUCUCCUCUUAAAGUCUAUUUAAGAGUCCUUGAAUGCACAACACUCCUAUAAAUCAUAUAAUCUAUUCCUUAUAUCUUUUACAGCUGCUUAAGGAAGUCUUUAUUCUCCCCCCGAGAGGGAUUAAGAGGGGGGGGGGGGGUAGUGGUCCAAUCUUGUCUUUUCAUUAGAGCUUUUUUUGUUUUUCUCUUAUUUAAAGUAUACCACAUUAGAGAAAGAGAAAACUCCCUCUAAAGGGCUUCUUUCUUGUAGGAUCCUAUAAGUCUCAUACUAACCCCUUAUAGCUGUAAGCUAUUAGCUCCCCUCUCCCUUUACUGGGCAGAUUAUCACUAGCCGCUGGGCGAGGGCCUCACUCUGCUAGUUUUCCACCUAGUAGGGUAUGGAGCUCUAUUCUUCAGAUUCAGUCUCCAAGGCCGCUACGAAGCUCUAGGAGGGCUUUCUAGUGUAUGCCUUGACUAUUUGAACCUCAUAAAACACAAGAAACUGAAAGAAAAAUAUUUACGCAGCGGAAUGAGCAAACAAUUUUUGCUUUUUCUUUCAUUCGAUGUUAUUGCUCGAAUCUGCAAAUUGAUACAGGCCUUGAUAUUUCAAAAACCAAUAAGUACUUACUUGUUUGGACGUGUAUGCAAUGCCCUCUGCUAGUUUUCCACCUAGUAGGGUAUGGAGCUCUAUUCUUCAGAUUCAGUCUCCAAGGCCGCUACGAAGCUCUAGGAGGGCUUUCUAGUGUAUGCCUUGACUAUUUGAACCUCAUAAAACACAAGAAACUGAAAGAAAAAUAUUUACGCAGCGGAAUGAGCAAACAAUUUUUGCUUUUUCUUUCAUUCGAUGUUAUUGCUCGAAUCUGCAAAUUGAUACAGGCCUUGAUAUUUCAAAAACCAAUAAGUACUUACUUGUUUGGACGUGUAUGCAAUGCCUGAUACAGAUGCUUGAAUUCCAGCAAUUAGCCUUCCACACGUUAGGCCUCUAGUUCGUCCACACAGACUCAAAACUAAUAGAUUGCUGAAUAUUGGAGUUUUUGUUUUGGUGGUGAUGAAAACAACGGUAGUCAACCACUUUUGUCAAUAGGGCAUAUAUAUAUAUAUUUACGAUUGUUUUUGAUUAGAUCAAUAUCAGAUCAAUAUCUUAUUUGAUCAAAUCAAAACAACCGGUUUAUAUAUAUAUUUUAUUCUUAUUUUGAUCAAAUCAAAAUAGAAUACAUCUAAUACCAUUAUUUAACUCACGUUUUAGUUUUUGAUCUUAUCAAAAUAUAAACAUAAUUAAUAUAAUUAUAUUAACUAUUAUUUUCAUCUUUAUGAUACUUGAGUCAUACUCAAAUACUAACUCCAAAUUCCGUCUAGCUUGGGUUUCAAGAUGUGCUAGCAUCCUUAUCAAAAUAAAAACCCAUUCUAAACAACUUCCCUAUUAAUUCAAAUCCUUUUGUGUGUGACUAUCUAGGUUCAUUACCCAGUUGGCAAUGCAAUAAACGUUAGCCUAUUAACAUUAGUUAGAACAUUUCUAACACUUGAGAAGUUCUCCAAAUAUACCUCAAGUUAACAUAGUUCAUGAGUGAUGCCUAGCAGCAUAUCAUGACACCCAACCGGUGAUGAAAGAUUGGAAUCCUUUUAUGUGAACCAUGAUUGCAAUUGUUUUGCAUAAAAAACCUUCCAUUACUAUAUCCCUAUUGAGUUCAGUUUAGUAAUAAUGUCAAACUCUAAAACUCAAUCGUAUGUCUUAAUCUAUCAAAUUACUUGACUAUAAAAUUGAUCAUCUACAUGAAUCAAUUUGUCUUGGCCAAGAACUCCUUUAGUCAAGAUCGAUAGAUUUCAUAAGAUAUCAAACCAUUCAUGAUGGAAUAAUAGAUCCCUUUUGCAUAAUCACUUGGCUCCAUGCAUAACUAAUUAGAGGUACCAUAUGCUAAUACUCAUCCGUGAUUAGAACAAGUAUUUUCAGCAUUGAUAGACUUUAACCACCCAUGAAUGAGCCAAUCGUGUUAUCUCAGGUCUAAGGAUCACAUGCACCAUUGCAAUCAAUAAUGAAUCAUUGACAUUAAUAAGCUAAUGAUUCAUUAUUUAAUUAGUCAGUGUUCAAGCCAACUUGUCACACAAGUGCCUCUCAUAUUUAUUCUAGUAUCACAUACUUAAUGGUAUGAGACUCGCCAUUCUAUUAUCAUUAAUAUCCCAUAUUAAUCAUAGAGGAUAAAUAUGAGACUAAUCUUCCGGAUUAAACUUGCCCAAUUAAUAAUCCUAUGAUUAGGAACAAUUUAAUAUUAUUUGUACCAAGUUUUUCCGUUACUCAUAUUCUCAUCACAUGAGAAUGGAACCUUAACAAAUAAUAAGGGACAACAUUCAAUCAAAUCUAAACCAAGAAUAAUUGAAUCAAGAAGUGCCAUUUUAUUUUAAUCAAGACAAUAAUUAUUAAUACUCUAGGGCAUACUGCUAACAGGCUCCCACUUGCACUAGAGCCAUUCAAUACAAUAUUUGAGUCCCAUCUUCUCAAGAUGGUGAUCUAACUGUCGUUGUGUCAUGGCCUUAGUAAGCGGAUCAGCUACGUUAUCAGCUGAAGCUAUCUUGUGCACGGUGACAUCACCUCUUCCGAUUAUCUCUCGGAUAAUAUGGAAACGACGCUCAAUAUGUUUGGACUUCUGGUGAGACCUCGGUUCCUUAGCCUGAGCUAUUGCACCAUUAUUGUCACAGUAGAGAGGUACCGGCAAUUCAAUGGUAGGAACCACUCCUAGUUCUGUGACAAACUUUCUCAUCCAAACAGCUUCCUUUGCUGCAUUUGAUGCAGCAAUGUACUCAGCUUCCGUAGUAGAAUCAGCAGUCGUAUCUUGUUUGGAACUUUUCCAACUCACUGCUCCUCCAUUACAGAGAAAAAUGAACCCAGAGAUAGAUUUUCUAUCAUCUACAUCUGAUUGAAAAUCAGAAUCUGUAAAACCAUCUAGUCUUAAAUCACCUCCUCCGUAAGUCAAGAUCAUAUCUUUAGUCCUUCUUAAGUACUUAAAGAUUGCCUUGACUGCACCCCAGUGUUCUAAACCUGGAUUAGACUGAAACCUGCUAGUAACACUAACAGCGUAAGCUAUGUCUGGUCUUGUACACAACAUUGCAUACAUUAGACUUCCAAUUGCCGAAGCAUAUGGAAUCUUAGCCAUUCUUUCUCUAUCUUCAGAUGUCUGAGGUGACAUCUUUUUCGAUAGGUGAAUGCCAUGUCUAGCAGGUAACAGUCCUUUCUUAGAUUCAAGCAUAUUGAAUUUUUUCAAUAUCUUGUUUAUAUAAAGACUUUGGGAUAACCCUAUAGUUCUUUUCGCUCUAUCUCUAUAGAUACGAAUUCCUAGAAUAUAGGUCGCUUCUCCCAAAUCCUUCAUAGAGAAGGUGCUUGAUAACCAUAAUUUUACAGAACUAAGCAUCCCUAUGUCAUUGCCCAAUAAUAAGAUGUCGUCAACAUACAAAAUUAGGAAAGUGACUGCACUCCCACUGACCCUUUUGUAAACACACGGUUCAUCCUCAUUUCUAAUGAAACCAAACGUUUUGAUUGCAUCAUCAAAUCGGAUAUUCCAAUUCCUCGAAGCUUGCUUAAGACCAUAGAUGGAUCUCUUAAGCUUGCACACUUUAUGUUGCUCACCCUCAGAUACAAAACCUUUGGGCUGAUCCAUAUAAACGUUUUCCUCAAUGUAACCAUUAAGAAAAGCUGUCUUGACGUCCAUCUGCCAGAUUUCAUAGUCAAGGUACGCUGCUAUGGCUAAUAGAAUCCUAAUAGAUUUGAGCAUGGCUACAGGCGAGAAAGUCUCCUCAUAGUCUAUUCCCUGCCUUUGGCGAUACCCUUUCGCCACUAGCCUAGCUUUGAAGGUUUCGACCUUGCCAUCAGAACCAAUCUUUCUCUUAUAGACCCAUUUGUUCCCUAUAGGUAUUAUACCUUCGGGUGGCUCCACAAGUUCCCAGACUUGGUUUGUGUACAUCGAAUCCAUUUCAGAUUUCAUAGCUUCUAGCCAUUUUGAGGAAUCUAUAUCAGAUAUAGCUUCUUCGUAAGUAGUAGGAUCAUCUGUAUGAUCAGUGUCUCCAUGUAUGAACAAUUCUUGCAUAUUCUCAUGGAGAUACCCGUACCUUUGAGUAGGACGAGACACUCUACUAGAUCGUCGAGGCUCUUGUGUUGUGACAUUGUUAUCAAUGGACAUUGGCUCUUUACCAGGCACAUCAUUCCUUUCCUGAUCAUUUUGUUGCUCAUGUGAAAUUUCAUUAAGCUCUAUCCUCCUUCCAGCAGCACCUUCUUGAAUAAAUUCUUUUUCAAGGAAGGUAGCAUUUCUACUGAUGACAACAAUUUGUUCAUCUGGAAGAUAAAAUUGAUAUCCAAUACAAUCCUUUGGAUAUCCAACAAAAUGACCUUUGACAGAUCUUGAUUCCAACUUGUCUGUCUUUAGUUUCCUGAUAUGAGCAGGACAACCAAAAAUUUUAACAUGAUUAAGGCUUGGCUUUCUUCCAGUCCACAUCUCAUAUGGAGUGGUAGGGACGGACUUAGAUGGUACUCUAUUGAGUAUAUAACAUGCUGUAAGAAGUGCAUAAUUCCAAAAUGAAAUAGGGAUAUCAGUAUAGCUCAUCAUGGAGCGAACCAUGUCCAUAUAGGUACGGUUCCUCCUUUCAGAUACGCCAUUCAAUUGUGGCGUUCUUGGAGGAGUAAGUUGAGAAAUAAUACCUUGAUCUUUAAGGUAUUCCCUGAACCCAGUGUCUAAGUAUUCACCUCCUCGAUCUGAUCGGAGAGUUUUAAUACUCUUACCAAGCUGAUUUUCUACUUCAGCCUUGAACUCUUUGAAUUUUUCAAAGCAUUCAUGCUUGUACUUCAUUAAGUACACAUAACCAUACCGAGAGUAAUCAUCAGUAAAAGUUAUGAAGUAAAUAAAUCCUCCUCUAGCCACUUUGGCAAAUGGCCCACAUACAUCACUAUGUAUGAUUUCUAGAACAUCACUGGCUCUUAUACUUUGUCCCACAAAAGGCAACCGAGUCAUUUUGCCUUGAAUACAAGGUUCACAAGUUGGAUAGGGUUCAGAACCCAUGGGUUUGAGUAAUCCCAUUUUCUCCAUCUUUGAAAUUCUGUCUCCUGCGAUGUGACCCAGUCUAAGAUGCCAAAGAUGUUUUUGAUUGAGGUUAAGUUUAGUCACUACGUUUAAAUUCUCAAACUUAGUUCCAUCUUUAUCAUCAGACAUGUGGUAUAAACCAUUUUUCUUGUAUGCCAAACCAAUACAAUCAGUAUUGUAAUAAAUCCUACAAAUAUUGCCUUUGAAUAAAAAUUCAUAUCCCACAUCAGUCAAAACCGAAAUAGAAAUAAUAUUCGUAAAAGUGUUUGGCAGACAUAAAACAUUGUUUAGGAAUAAAACAUGUCCUGAAGAUAAAGCUAAAGAAGUAGAUCCUAUAGCAGUAGCAGCAACUGUUGCUCCAUUUCCGACCUUUAGGAUCACCUCGUCCUUCCCAAGGACUCUACUUUUGGUUAGUUCCUGCAAAGAUGCACAAACAUGAUAUGAUGCACCUGAGUCAAGAACCCAAGAAGUAGAAUGAGAGCUAACUGUACACAGAGGAUUGAGGAAACAUGAAAUGGUACUACCUUCAUUUGUCUUUCCUUUUCCCUUGUCCUUUAUCGACUCAAGGUACUUAGGACAAUUCCUCUUCCAAUGUCCUUCCAUUUGGCAGUGGAAACAUUUUGCACCAACCUUGAAGUUGCCCUUCUUUUUAGAGAUACCUCCUGUAGGCUUAGGAUGAGAAGAUUUAAUUGAUUUCUUCUUCUUCUUUUUGGACUCUCCAGAAGAAGAAGCAAUCAUUAAAGCCGCUUCCUUUCCGUUUCCUUUCAUCGUAGACUGAGCAGUAACAAGAUGGUUAUGAAGUUCUGAAAGCGAUACCUCAAUCUUGUUCAAGUGAAAAUUUACAAUGAAUUGGGCAAAGGAAUCUGGUAGAGACUGCAAAAUCAAGUCUGUCUGAAGGUGAGCAUCCAUGGAAAAAUCCAAGUUUUCAAGACGCUCAAUCAUAUUGAUCAUCUUGAGAACAUGAACUGACGCAUCAGCUCCUUCAGUCAGACGAGUCCUAAACAACUCCUUAGAUAUCUCAUAUCGGGCAGUUCUGGAUUGUUCACCAUACAAUUCUUGUAGGUGAAGCAAAAUAUCUUUUGCGGUCCCCAUCUUUUCAUGCUGCCUUUGCAAUUCAUUGUUCAUAGACGCUAGCAUGUAGCACCUAGUUUGCAUGUCAUCCUCCUCCCACUUUCUAAAAGUGGUUUGUUGCGGCUCAGUCGCCCCUUCAGGCAAGGGAUUAGGAACUGGAGUCUCUAAAAUAUAUCCAAUUUUUUCGGAAUUAAGAACAAUUCUUAGAUUCCUCAGCCAAUCAGUGAAAUUGGGCCCAGUGAGUGUAUUUUUUUCAAGGAUAGUUGAGAGAGGGUUCAUGGGUGCCAUAAUAUCCAAAUAUUAGAAACUGCAGAAGAUAAUAAAAUUGAUUAGCAAUUAUCCUGAUAGAUCCAAUUUGUUUUUGGCCUUUAAAACAAACUGGUCCUCCCACUAAAUUUUUCGAAUGUCAUACUUCCAAAAUGAUAAACAGAAAUCUUUAAAUGAUCUCUAGUGGGAGAUGGGAUUCUUAUAAAAUGUUUAAUAUACCUCAGGUGAUCCCUAUAUUGGUAUAAUAAUAUUUUGUAAGUGACAACUCUUUGUCAAUACAUCUCAUGUAUACCCCAACCGAGACUUGGCUCCUAAUACUUAAGACCUCAGGCGUAUCCAAUCUUGGUCCAUCAUAUUAGUUAAAUUAAAUCCACUAGACAGUAGGCAAGAUAAUUUGAAUAUUAAUUACCUCAGGCGUUUCCUAUCUUGAUAAUUAAUAUAUUAUCCUACCCACAACAUCACAUGCUUUAUAAAAUCUACAAGAAUAUCCCUUACAUCUUUAUACUACCCCAUGUGUCCACAGCCAAUAGUACAAAUUGUAAAAUAUUCUGUAGAUCUUAAUCCAGUGGAGGGCCAUGAUACAAUAUCAUAAAGUAGGUGGAUUUUCUGGUCUAAUUAUUUCGAGGUAACACUGUGUUCAUCAAAAUCCUUUUGAUGAACGUGCAUCACAUACAUAUGUCAAAAGCGAAUAAAUAAACUCAGAUAAUCAUGGAUAACAACAACCAAAAAAAAAACAACUGAAUUAGUCUUCCUGAGCCCAUGAUUAUCCUUCAUGCCAUGUAUCAAAAAUGAAAAAUUAAAUAUUUCAUAUUAAAUAAGGAAUGCUAACAUUUAUUGAAACUAUUCCAUUUAAUGCUAACCGUUUUAAUUUCAUUGCCUUUCAAAAUUAAAUCACUAACAUUUAGAUAAUUAAUUUUGAACAAAAGAUUGCUUUCAAUAAUUAAGAUUCUUAACGUUUUAAGAAUACUUAAUUAUUAGAAGGAAACCUUUUGAAAUAUAAUCUUAACCCAUUUAAGAUAAGUCCGAAACUGAAACAAUAUGAAGCCUUUGUUUAGCACCAUGGCCGAGACAGCAACUAUUGCAAUCAGCCUUCCAAUGAAACAAAUAUAAUCAAUUGCAAAUUCGAAGCAAGGUGGCUCUGAUACCACUGAAAGAAAAAUAUUUACGCAGCGGAAUGAGCAAACAAUUUUUGCUUUUUCUUUCAUUCGAUGUUAUUGCUCGAAUCUGCAAAUUGAUACAGGCCUUGAUAUUUCAAAAACCAAUAAGUACUUACUUGUUUGGACGUGUAUGCAAUGCCUGAUACAGAUGCUUGAAUUCCAGCAAUUAGCCUUCCACACGUUAGGCCUCUAGUUCGUCCACACAGACUCAAAACUAAUAGAUUGCUGAAUAUUGGAGUUUUUGUUUUGGUGGUGAUGAAAACAACGGUAGUCAACCACUUUUGUCAAUAGGGCAUAUAUAUAUAUAUUUACGAUUGUUUUUGAUUAGAUCAAUAUCAGAUCAAUAUCUUAUUUGAUCAAAUCAAAACAACCGGUUUAUAUAUAUAUUUUAUUCUUAUUUUGAUCAAAUCAAAAUAGAAUACAUCUAAUACCAUUAUUUAACUCACGUUUUAGUUUUUGAUCUUAUCAAAAUAUAAACAUAAUUAAUAUAAUUAUAUUAACUAUUAUUUUCAUCUUUAUGAUACUUGAGUCAUACUCAAAUACUAACUCCAAAUUCCGUCUAGCUUGGGUUUCAAGAUGUGCUAGCAUCCUUAUCAAAAUAAAAACCCAUUCUAAACAACUUCCCUAUUAAUUCAAAUCCUUUUGUGUGUGACUAUCUAGGUUCAUUACCCAGUUGGCAAUGCAAUAAACGUUAGCCUAUUAACAUUAGUUAGAACAUUUCUAACACUUGAGAAGUUCUCCAAAUAUACCUCAAGUUAACAUAGUUCAUGAGUGAUGCCUAGCAGCAUAUCAUGACACCCAACCGGUGAUGAAAGAUUGGAAUCCUUUUAUGUGAACCAUGAUUGCAAUUGUUUUGCAUAAAAAACCUUCCAUUACUAUAUCCCUAUUGAGUUCAGUUUAGUAAUAAUGUCAAACUCUAAAACUCAAUCGUAUGUCUUAAUCUAUCAAAUUACUUGACUAUAAAAUUGAUCAUCUACAUGAAUCAAUUUGUCUUGGCCAAGAACUCCUUUAGUCAAGAUCGAUAGAUUUCAUAAGAUAUCAAACCAUUCAUGAUGGAAUAAUAGAUCCCUUUUGCAUAAUCACUUGGCUCCAUGCAUAACUAAUUAGAGGUACCAUAUGCUAAUACUCAUCCGUGAUUAGAACAAGUAUUUUCAGCAUUGAUAGACUUUAACCACCCAUGAAUGAGCCAAUCGUGUUAUCUCAGGUCUAAGGAUCACAUGCACCAUUGCAAUCAAUAAUGAAUCAUUGACAUUAAUAAGCUAAUGAUUCAUUAUUUAAUUAGUCAGUGUUCAAGCCAACUUGUCACACAAGUGCCUCUCAUAUUUAUUCUAGUAUCACAUACUUAAUGGUAUGAGACUCGCCAUUCUAUUAUCAUUAAUAUCCCAUAUUAAUCAUAGAGGAUAAAUAUGAGACUAAUCUUCCGGAUUAAACUUGCCCAAUUAAUAAUCCUAUGAUUAGGAACAAUUUAAUAUUAUUUGUACCAAGUUUUUCCGUUACUCAUAUUCUCAUCACAUGAGAAUGGAACCUUAACAAAUAAUAAGGGACAACAUUCAAUCAAAUCUAAACCAAGAAUAAUUGAAUCAAGAAGUGCCAUUUUAUUUUAAUCAAGACAAUAAUUAUUAAUGCUCUAGGGCAUACUGCUAACAGAAAUAACAAGAAGCAAGCGAAAGAAGGAAUCCUUGGGUAAGAAUUCCGAUUGAAGCAAUAAGGAAAGUGCGGCUUUUGUUCACCUAUCAUUCUCCGAUGCGACCAAGCAACUCCCUUAGAAUAUCUUCCCUUCGAACAGCGCGACCCGCCUAUUCAACUACAAUAUGAAUUCCUCUUGCCGUUGUUGCUCUUCUUGCCCCUUUAGUGGUGAUCCUUGGAUGAGGAGCAUAAACGAGCCUUAAGAGUGCAUUAGGAGGUCUUGUUGCCUGUGCUCAAGACAUAUUUUAACACAACUACAUUCCACCCAACCUGCUAUGUAUAUACACACACUAGUAAUUACUAUUUUUUCCUACAUUUAUACACUUUUCCUAAUUAAUCUCUUUGCAUUUAUAAUCUUUUCCUAAUUAAUCUUAUAUUUUUAAAAAUCUAACACGUGAAAUACAUCUUAACAAAUAUCUUAUAUAUACCCAUUAGAUAGACCAUUUUAGAAAAAUAUCUUUGUUAGAAAUAUUGGCGGGUUUCAAACUAACUAUCUAAUGUAUCCUUAAUUUAUUCUAAUUGAUCCUUCAUGAUGAUAUAUAUAAACACCCACCCACCGCCCCCCCCCCCCUUCUCCCGGGUUCCUCCUCAAAGUCAAGGCAGUUGCGAAGAAACCAUUUUGAGUUUGUCAAGAAGAUCAUUGAAACGGUUGGGAGGAAGAGGUUUGGUGAAGAUAUCUGCAAGUUGAUCCAUAGAAGAUACAGAGUGGAUGAUCUCGCCGGGGCACUUUACGGGAUAUAGCACAGCAGAUCUAGAGAAAGGUUUACUCAUCUGCAGCACCACAAUGUUUUCUUCUUGACUAUUAUCCUGACGCUGCUAUCAGAACUGGCCUCUUUCAUUAUGUGUGGGUACAAUUUUACAACAAUCCGCCUUGUCAAUGUAGUGCUGGCAAUACCAAUAACUUCUUCGACAGUUGGAAUCCAGGGGCUUCAUAUACAGGCGUUAAUACAUUAUUCCUGGGAUUACCUGCAGCCCCUGAGGCAGCACCUAGUGGCAGCUACAUCACACCUCAAGAGCUAAUUGAUCAAGUUCUACCCUUUGUCGAGAGCUAUUCCAACCACAGAGAGCUCAUGCUUUGGAGCAAAUACUUUGAAGCUAAUUGCAAUGAAAUAAUCAGGCCUUAUGUUAACUCUGAUGUCCUGGUUCAUGGCAAAAAGUCCACGAUAAAGUCCCAUGCUCUCGAAUAAUUGAGUUGCUCUCAUUAACACUUGAUGGAUGAAAUGCAGUCCUGGUUGUUUUUGCCAUAUAGAUAAAUAAUGGGUAAUAAGUUCCCCAGCUAUGGAGGCGUCAGAUACUGGGAUGUGUCUAUUACAGUCCAGCAAUCGAGCCUUAUGUUAAACCAUGAAAACUCUGACCAGUGAUAACAAGGCCAUGGGAGUCUUCUGCCACUGAAUAAGUUCCUCUGAUCACUAUUUCAUGAGAGAUGAAAUGUAAUCCUGGUUGUUUAUGCUAGAGAUAGAUGUGAUAAAUAAAUAACGGGUUAUGAUCCCCAAGUUUAAUUGCGUAUUCUCUUGAUUUAACGGUUAGAAAAUCCGCAAAAAUCACAAAUUACUGAAUACUAGUUUGGACAACCAUGCCAGUUGCACCUCCAUUUUGCAAUGUAUAUCUCUUAAAAUUGGGAAGUAAUUACAUUUUCGGUUUGCAACUCCAUUAAAAUUUGACCAAACGAACCUGUGGUUUGAUCAAAUUAUCCCCUUAUGAGUUAUGGCUUCCAAAACCAACUAACGGAAGUGGAGAAAUGUUAGAACUACCAUCUACAGAAGAUUACAUUUAUCUCCCUUGAAAUUUAUCUAAAUAAAAAAAAGGGUCAUUAAAAUGUGAACCGAAUGCAAUUUAACCCUUAAAAUAGCCAACUGUUUAUAAAAAUAAAAAUCCCUUAAUAUUAUCAAAAGAAUAAAACCCAAAUUAAGAUAAAAUUAUCAAUUACUAUCUUCCAAGAAAUGAAAAAUGAAAGGAAAAAAAUUGAGAAAAUGUCUUUCUUUCUCGUCUUUAUCUACAUAUGGCUUAUUUUAGCCACUAAAAAACACUCUCUCUCCUUUUAACAAUUAUGCAUUUCAUUUGCAUAUCCAAUUAGGAAGAUACUAAUAUUAAGUUUAAAUAAAACUCUCGUUAAGCCAGAAAACCUUCGCUUGGCCCAUUCGAUAAUAAAUUCUUGUCCUUUAUUCCAGACAAGUGCCUUUAUUAGAUUUUCACUUUUGAUUUUCAAUUUGGUGUCUUUACGAAAGAAAAAUCCUAAAUUUUCAUGCUUAGAGAUGUAUGCAAAUUUAACAGUUUAUUUUAUGUUUUAGGAAACAAAGUUUUAUUAUUUGCGCAUGGAAGUCAAAAACGAUAUUUGAUAUCAAUUAUGUAAUAGUGGUGGUCAAGGAAACUGCAUCGACUGAAACACUUUUGUUAGUGAUGCCACGUGAUUAGAGUUUCAAUUACACUAAUUUUAAGAUGAAAGAAUCAUUGGAAAAAUAUAUAGUAAUUAAUGGGUAUUUUUAUAAACUCAAAAAUUCUGAUGUGAUUAAGUAUUAGCAAAUAUUUCUUUAAUAAAUGUUUGCGAGAAUUGCAGUUUUGGUCUCUAAUGUUUGGCGUGUGUACCAAAUUAGUCCUCAAUGUUUUAGCUAAAACAAAUCUAGUCCCAAAAAUUUGUGAUUUUCGGUAGAUUUAGGACAAUAAAUGGAAAUGAAACAAUGGCUAACAGUCAAUAUCAAAUUACUGUUAGUCAACAAGUUUAACCUUUUGAUUCCCAAUGUUUUGAUUUUGAAUCAUUAUAUUUUUCUAAUUUUUUAAAUAUUGGUAUUAAGGGUUUUGGCAUGAAUUGAGAUGCAAAUUAGAAUGAAAUAGUAUUAAAUAUGUAAUAAUAAUUUUAAUUAAAAAUAUAUUACUUCUUUUUUAAUAUUUAUUUCAUUUAUUCAUGCUAAUAAUUAUAUAUAAUUGUUUCUCGCUUGAAUAAUUAAUUUAUAAUGAGUUUUAUUAUUUUUAUUUCUAAUAACAAUUAAACAACUUUAUUAAAUAUUCCUUUAAAACACAAGAAAUAUAUUUUUUGUAAAAUAAGUUGAUCUUUUUUGGCAUUUUAAUAGGUUAUCAAUUGAGUUUGAAAUAAAGUUGACAUUUUAUACACGUUAUAUGAACCACUAGAUGAUUGUCAAGAUACAUAGAUACUAAAAUAAAUGAUUUAAAACUACAAUAUUGAAAUGUUAGAUUUUAAUGGUAGUAAAGAAAAUAAAAAUAAAAGAUAAUUUUCUUAGGAUUUGCUAAAAUUAUUUAAUAUUGAUGCUUAACUUUACUAGUUUUUAUAAAUACAACGGAUAACUCUAAGAAUUUGAAGCAUACAUGCACAAGACAUGCAACAAUUUUUGUAGUAAUAACUAUAAUAAAUUUAGAUUAUAAAACUGAAAUUCUCCUUUUCUUCCUCUACUUUAUGUUUUAUUUAUUAUUGGUAUAUUAUCAUCCAAUUAAAUUUAUUUAAUAAAGAUAGGCAAUUAUCAACUUAUGCCAUUAUGAUUUGUUUCAAUUAAUAGUGAGAAAUAAUAUAUAUACAUAUAUUAUACAAGAUUUGAGACUAGAAAUGCAAAAAAAAAAAACAUAUGAGAUAUUAUUAGUAUGAAUAAAUGAAAUAAAAAUAAAAGGGAAGGAAAAAAAGUUUAAUUAGAAUUUUUGUUACCCAUUUAAUACUAUUUCAUUCUAAUUUGCAUCUCAAUUCAUACUAAAAUUCUUAAUAUCAUUAUUUAAAAAUUAGAAAAAUAUAAUCAUUCAAAGUCAAAAUACUAAGGACCAAAAGUGCAAAGUCAAAGUUGUUGACUAAUGACAAUUUGAUAUUGAUCGUUAGUCAUUGUUCUAUUUCCAUUAGUUAUGCUAAAUCUAACUAAAAUCGCACACUUUCGGGACAGAAUUUGUUUUGGCCAAAACAUGCAUUAGGGACAAAUUUGGCAUACAAGCAAAACAUUAGGGACCAAAAUUAUAAUUCUCCAUAAAUGUUUGGCUAGUAAAACAUUGGAUUGAUUUGGAAAAACUAAAGGGUUCAUUUUUGUUAUUUGGACAAACUUCAAGAGAGGCAAAUGCAAUUUGAACAAACUUUAGGAUAGGUAAGUGCAAUUAACUCAAUUUACAAAAGGUUAGUUUGGGGGCUUUUAGACAUAUAUUUUAGUGAUGCAAGCAUCAUUUCAAUCAACAAUUAGCGUGAGGGGCGCAAUUGAUAAACAUUUUGUCAGUCAGGGGAUUUGACUAUAAUCUGGUCAAACUGCAAGAUAAAUUUUGUACUUUGACACCUCGAGAAAGUAGGUGUAAUUAACCUUAAAAAAACCGAGUGUUCUUAUUGUCCGAAUAUUAUCCAAAUGAGAUAGCACUAUCUCAAGAAAAAUACAUGUAUCCAUUCUUAUACCUUCACCUAUGUAUCCACUUUUGACUUAUAAUUAAAGGUAACAUGGCUUGUUUUAACCUAUUGAUUGUACCCUCCACCUAUCUCUCUCUUUUCAUUUCUUUCUGUUUCUCUUCUUCCAACCAACCUCUCCAAUCCUUCUUUCAGCCCACCCAAGUUCUCAUGAUGAACACUCUUCCCAUGCACCAUGCCUCUACCCUAAUCCAAAUAUUUACAAGUAGUGGCAGAACCAGAAUCCUAGACUCAGCAAGGCCAAAUUAGAUUAGCAUAAAAAUUGAAGUAUUAAUAGAGUUUGAAAUCAAAAAACACUUCUAUCUUAAAAGUUCAUUUUUUCUAUGUUAAAUACACUUUUAAAAAUAAUUUGCGUUAAAUUUUGCAAUGAAAAUUACAUUUAAAUUUACAUCUAUAUUUAACUUUUGGUAGGUUUAAUACUCUUGUGAAGGAUAACAAUUAUGGAAUUUUAAUUAUUUAGGGGGCAAUGUAUGAUAGUAAAGAGAAUUCUAAAAAUUUUAGGGAGGACAAAUAAGAAACAAUUUUGAAAAUUUCUAAACAUAAAAUAUAAUUUUCUCAAAAAUUGCACCCCCUCAGCAGUAUGUGGCUUUGCCAUUGUUUAAUUACAAGCUUUCCUUCCUCCCUAUUUUCCUAUAUUGUGUUUACAUUUUUGAAGUACUUGUAUAUUUCAUAUAUAUCACAUUGCAAAAACUACAACAUUAUAAUUCUAAAAAAAUUUAAACUAUAUGUUUCCAAACGCAGCCUUGACUUUUAGUUAUUGAGUCUUAGUUUGAAUAUGAAGUCAACAGUUUCACUUUGUCUCAACGCACCUAUAGGAUUUAAGUAUAGGUUUUGAAACCGUAGGAGACUUUUGUGUCUUGUCCAUGAACAACAGGAGGAUAAAGUUAAUUCACCUCUUUUUUUUAAAAAAAAGAUAGAAGACUAUGCUAAUAUUUAUAUUUUUAUUGUGAGUCAGGGUAUUUUUCAAAGAUAAUUUUAUUUAAUUGGGUUAACAUUUCUAGGCAUUGAGAAGGGUUAAGAAAUCAUAAAAUUGUAAGUUAAUUGUAAAAAAUAAUAGUAGGAAUGAAAUGCCAAAAAUGACUAUAGUUUAGCCAAACCACAAGGUAGAUUUUGUAAUUUGACCAAACCUCGCGGGUAGAUUUUUUUUUUUUGGGAUAAAUCAGGGGUAGAUUUUAUUGUCCGACUAUUAUAAUUUAUAAUGGACCAGAGUAGAGAUUAGUUGUUACAUUUCCAACUUUUUUGCAUGGUCACACAUUUCCGACUAUUAUAACCUCAGGUGUUUUUUUUUCCUUUCUCAUUUUGGAUUAAUCUUCAAUAGAGGAAACAACUUUCUGGCUUGAUAAAUAUGUUAUGAAAAUAGAUUUUUUAAAUUAAAUAGGGACUACUUGUCCUGUAUUCAGAUAUGCCAUUGUAAUAGAACUUUGGUAUACUUAGAUAGUAUAUUAUUUAGGAUAAUUUUUUGACAAAAAUAUUGUGUUGACCUUGGUCGAUCAAUCCUUGGUUUUGAUGAUUAACAAACCAAAAUAUAGAUUUGGGCUAAUGUUUUUAUGUGAGUAAUUUGUUAGAAUAGAUUCUUGUGGCAUAAAAGAAGAAGCAAAAACAGGGCACUCAUGUCGGACGCUAUCGGAUGUCCGAAAGGAUGAAGAACAUCAAGAAGGAAACUCUGUCGGACGCUCAUGAGGAAGCAUGGGACGUCCGGAAGGAUCGGACGCACGCCUCGGACGCACAUCGAUCGCAUCGGACGUCCGAGAAAUUUCGCAAAGAUUUGAUGACUCUCUGACGACGUUCGGACGCAGGGUUCGGACGUCCGACAGGUGGUUUGGACGCAGGGUUCGGACGUUCGACAGGUGGUUCGGACGUCCGACAGACCAACGGCUAGUUUUGACAGCAUUUAAUAUUUGACCGUUGGAGAGCCUUUUGGAGUCAUUUCUCACCUUCUAUAAAAACCCCAAAGCACAAGAAGACAAGAGACUUUUGCCAACACAAAAUACAAGCUUACAAGUGAGAUUUUUGAGUAGAAAGAUUCUUUGUUGGUUGUAUAAGGUUGGGAAAGUUGGGUUGUGAGGUUGCUCAAGUGAAGGUUACUCUCUAGGAGGAGUAAAACCUUGGUGAAGAUAAACCUAUCACUUGGAGUGGUAAAACCUUGGUGAAGGUUGCCUCAUGUGUAUAAAAUAGUUCUUAAUUGGGUGAGUGAUCUUUCAAGUGUAGGUUGUUGAGGGUUAACUAGUAUAGUUGUAAAACUCCUUGGCUCAACCAAAGAGUGUUUGGGGUGAGGAAGGAGUGAGCCUUCACUUGUACAUCUUGGUUAGCAUCGCCAUCUAUUGAAGAGGCUAUUGGAUUGAUAUUUGGUUUGCAUUUUUUAUCUUUUCUCUUUAAUUAAGUUUUCUUUAUUGUGCUUAAAUUUGAUAUAUCUUUGUGUAUCAUUGUGAAUUUGUUUGUACUCAUUGGGUUGCACCGGGCACUUACAUAUUGUGAUAAUUUUUUGACAAAAAUAUUGUAAAAAGAUGAUUGAAAAAUGAUAAUUUUUUUGAUAUGAUAUAUGUCAGAUAAAAAGAUGAUUGAAAAAUUUGUUGAUGAUACAAACAAAUACAAUUUGACAAAUAAUCUACUAUCCAAACAAAGACUAGAUUUUCUAUGUGCAAAUAUGCUAGGGUAACCGAUUCACAACGCAUUUGAUAAAGCGGUUAUUGAGCACAUUUUGCACUAUUAUUCUGCCCUAAUUUUGGCUACUCAUGGUGCUAAGAAUUGGGAAUUUGCUCAUAUUUGAUAUUUGUGUAAAUUGUAGGUGGUUGCUGUUAAAAGUAAUCUUUUGAGGCAAUUUCCAGAAGACCCUUUAUUUUAGGACGUGCCCACGCCAGAAAUUAUAGAGGGCUACCCAAAAACCGGACCCGCGAGCUUGGUAACAGUAGGAUAACCAAUUAAGGAACUAGGUCCGCGUGGACCAGAUGCGUGGGAUUAGAACCCUUAGACAAAGCUUGCUCCUGAUUUGACUCCUACGGGCGGCGCUACAAAUAAGAAAACAAGCUAGAUUCGCGGGGAAUCAUCUACCUUAGCUUUAAUUUUCCUUUUUUCACAUCUGUCAGACAUCAAAGAAUUUUUCCUUGUUUUUUUUGGCUUUUACGUUUUGACUCUUUUGCUUUUGCUUUGGAUCUGUACAAUUUUCAUUGGCUUUGGCAUUGAACUUUCGGAUCCAGUACGGACUCCAAUGCAGAGACAAGCAAGACUUUUCACUUUUUCUUUCUUUGUUAUUUCAUCGGUCCAGAUUCUUUGAUGUUUGUGUGGAUGAAAUCAAUUAAAUUGCGCGAGAUUGAUAUGACGAGGAGCGGCUAAAUUCCCCUUCUACCCAAGGGUUAACGCGAAGGCGCGGUCCAUAACAUCUGUGAGAUCUAAUCGAAUUUUCACUAUUUCGUCCAAUUCGUUACUAUUUAUGUGUUUCCUGAAUUAAUUGUUCAUGGGUAUUUUAUUAAUUGGGUAUCAGCGGCCGGAUAUUUAAUUUAAUAUAAUAGCCUAUUGGUACAUUAAUUAAAUUGAAUCCGUAAUUGUUCGUUUAGUUGACAAAUAGUGACAACCACCAUAAUUGGUUUUAUGUUGGAGAAACACAAGAUCUAAUUUAAAUAAACUCUCUUAGCGUGUUUAUUGGUUAGGGUUGGGUUUUUCUAGUUUUAAUGCAACUGGAUAACUAAAUUCCUACGGUCGUACCUAGGGUUGUUUUCUGGUUAGAGAAGCAGUCAAUGAUCGUAGUUUGACUGUCGAAAAAGUAAGGAAGAACUGGUUGUCAGAUCUUAUUGAUAACUAUAACCAACCUAGUGACGGAUGGAUGAAAUAUCUUUGCAUCGAUGAUCAUUUAAUUGGACCGUGCCUGAAAACUUGAUUCUUUGGGUAGAAUUUUAUUAAUUGCUAUUUUUAGUAAAUUGUACUUGUGGAGUUAUCUUUUGAAUUUUAUUUAUUUUAUUUUCGUUUCCAUCCCAUUAAUUAUCCCCUAAUUUUAUUCUAUUGAUUUAAAAAGAAACAACUUCCUACCCGUUCCCUGUGGAAUCGACCCUACUUGCCAUUGUACGCAAAAUUAAUAUUUUUAUAGACAAUUCAGGUAUAUCGGACCAAGCAAACUCUUCGGGAAUAGGGUAAAUCAAGUAAUCCAUUACACAUUUAGGGUCCCUACUCUAGUAUUUGGAUUUGUUCUAUAAUUAAUUGUGAUGGUAAUUAGGACUUUUUAGUAAUUAUUAUUGCACAGGUUCGGUAUCUGUCAAUUUUUGGCGCCGUUGCCGAGGAACGGUAUUUUGAUUAAUUUUGUUUCUUUCUAAGUUAUUUUCUUUGGAUUUGUCUGACAUUUUUCUAGUUUAUGCCUCGUUCUUCUCAUACAGGAGAAUUGAUUUUCGAUCCGGAAGUAGAGAAGACUUCGUGUCAAACUAGAAAAUAGACUAGGCAACUCAGAGAGGAGCAAUCGAGCACUGCAUCUCAGGAACUGGAUCCUGAGAUUGAAUCAGCAGAUUCGAGUGGUGAAAAUUCAAGUGACCCAGGCCAAGAAGACAUCCCUAUGGCGAAUGCAAGAACACUAAGGGAGUUGGCUGCUCCGGAAUUGCCCCAGCAGCCGCUGUGCAUCACAUUUCCAACUCUAGCUGAAAAUGCCUCAUUCGAACUAAAGUCGGAGUUGAUUCACCUUUUGCCCACAUUCCAUGGCCUUUCGGGGGAGGAACCCCAUAAACACAUUCAAAAGUUCAAUGUGGUAUGCUCCAGUAUAAAGUCUCCAGAAAUUACUGAGGAGCAGAUCAAACUUAGAGCCUUCCCAUUCUCCCUCAAGGAUGCAACAAAGGAUUGGUUGUACUACUUACCUGCAGGCAGUGUUACAACAUGGACCCAACUGAAAAAGAAAUUUUUGAAAAAAUUCUUCCCUACAUCCCGGGCUGCAAGUCUGAGAAAGGAGAUUUGUAGCAUUAAACAGUACCCUGGAGAAUCCCUAUAUGACUAUUGGGAGAGGUUCAAUAAGUUGUGCACUAAAUGCCCACAACAUCAAAUUAGUGAACAACUAUUGAUCUAAUAUUUCUAUAAGAGGCUCCAGUCAUCCGACAGGAGUAUCAUUGAUCCUGCGAGCGGGGGAGCAUUGGCAAAUAAGACCCCGAGGGAAGCAUGGUUGCUCAUUGAAACUAUGACAAAAAAUUCACAACAGUUUGGCUUCCGCGAGAGUAACCCUACCCGUAGGGUUAACAAGAUAGAGACAUUAUCCAUUCAGCAGCAGCUAUCAGAGCUAACAUCUUUCGUUCGCCAAUUAGCUGUGGGAAACGGGCACCAAGCAAAGGCCUGUGGAAUCUGCACAAAUGUGGGUCACCCCACUGACUCAUGCCCUAUGUUGCAAGAGGAUGGGGCUAAACAUAUGAACAUGACUGGAGGCGUGCCCGCGCCUCGUAGGCAGUACGACCCACACUCGAACACGUACAAUCCGAGUUGGAAAGAUCACCCCAAUUUCAGCUAUGAUAAUAGGCCACAGAAUUCAUUCUCCAAUCGUCCACCAGGAUUUCGGCAACCAUGGCAACCAAAGCCACAACCUUUAUCAUCUAACUCAGGAAGUUCCUUGGAGGAAAUUGUCAAGAGUUUGGUCACGACUACCACUCAGCUCCAACAGGAGACUAGGGCCCUGGUCGCGAACAAUACUCAGUUCCAGUAGGACACCAGAGCAAGCAUGAAAAACAUGGAGACUCGAAUGAAUCAAAUGGCAACCGUCAUUAAUCGCUUGGAGUCCCACGUUUAUGGAAAACUACCAUUACAAUCCAAGAUAAAUCCCAAGAAUGUAAGUGCCAUGACACUAAAGAGUGGCAAAGAGGUGGAGGGACCUAAGUUGGUAAAUUCGAAAAGCAAAAAGUGAGGAGGAGAUAGAAGAGGGAGUUGAAGAGGAACGGCACAUUCGCGAAGAGUCUAAGGUAACAUCUAUUCCUUUGAUGCCUAUUAAAUCUAAUCUAGCUCCUUUUGCUUGCAGGUUGGAAAAGACAAAUAGGGCAGAAAAGGAAAAAGAAAUCCUGGAUGUGUUCCGCAAAAUUCAAGUAAACAUCCCCCUAUUGGAUGCGAUCAAACAGGUAUCCAAGUAUGCAAAGUUCUUGAAAAACUUGUACGUUAACAAAAGAAAGCUAAGGGAUGAUGAGAGAGUGAUGGUAGGAGAGAAUGUAUCAGCUGUACUUCAAAGGAAACUCCCACCCAAAUGCGAGGAUCCAAGCAUGUUUACUAUCUCCUGUAAGAUUGGAUGUUCUAAUAUCGAAAAUACCAUGCUAGUUUAGGAGCCUCUAUUAAUGUGAUGUCUAAAUCAAUCUAUGAUUCCCUAAAUUUAGGACCUUUAAAAGAAACAAGAAUAAUAAUUCAAUUGGCUGAUCGUACAUUUGCUUAUCCGGAUAGAAUAGUUGAGAAUGUUUUAGUGCAAGUAGAUGGAUUAAUUUUUCCUGCUAAUUUUUAUGUGCUUUACAUGGAUGAUAGAAGUGUCCCAAAUCCAUCACCCAUUAUAUUAGGAAGGCCAUUCUUGAGUACUGCCCAAACUAAGAUUGAUGUUAGUAAGGGUACUUUCACAAUGAAAUUUGAUGGAGAAACAGUCCAUUUUAAUAUUUUUGAUACAGUGAAACAUCCUGUUAACUCUUAUUCUGUGUUUGUUAUUCAUGCUACUGAUCCAUCUGUGCAAAAAUUUUCUGAGUUUGCUUGUAGAAGUAAAUUCAAAGUUGCUGCAAACAAGUAUCAUGGAAUGAAAGCAAUUCAUGAGGUGAAAAUGGGUAGAAAAUUAAGAAAAAAUGUUGCAUUCAAUGGCUAUUUGGAUCCCGGAGGAGGGCCACUGAUUACAAGAAAAAUUGAAUUACAUCCAAACUGAAGAGCGGUGUAUAGUGUCUAGCCAAAGACAUUAAAGAAAGACACUACUUGGAAAGCAAUCCAAGGAUUUCAAUUGUGUUCUAUUUCAUAUUUGUGUGCUCAAGACCAGUGGGUUUAGAUUCCUAUUGACAAUAUUUAUUAUAGGUCAUGGGUGUUUCUGUGUAGUUUUAUUCUAGGUUGGACGCAAAAAAAAAAAAUUUUGUGGGCAGAAGACUUCAUGUUACAAGGCGUGCCCGGGCCUUGUACUCACCGCACAUGAAUAUUUGUAAAAUUUGGUGAACAGAAGACCUCGACCUCCAAGGCAUGCCCACGCCUUCCAACCUUUGCAACAAUGAAAGUAAAAAAAAAUUGACCAGGACCUUCUCUAACCCCACUUUUCUACUUUUCUUUUUUCUUGUCUUGUCUGGUCUUUUUAAUUUCCUCUGUCUUAGUUUCUACUUUUCAAUUUCCUUUGUUUUGUCUUAGUUUCAGUUUCUUCGUUUCCUCUUUUCUUGUUAGUCUGCCGCGCACAGCGCGUCGCCGUGGCGUGCUCCUCUUACCAUACUCCUCCUACUGGGGAUUCCCAAUACUGUGCCCUCCAAGAUUCUAUCCAUGAACUAGGUGAGCAGGUUGAGGGACUAGAUGGCCGUCUUGCAGCGCUGCAGGUUUUUGCUCGCAUUCAGGUGGAGAACUAGGCAGCUUUCUUUACGCAUAUUGGAUUCACUCCACCUCAUCCUCCUCCCCCUUAGUGUCUAGCUGCAGCCUCUCGGUAGUCAAGGAAGUUUCUCUCCUUUUCUCCUAAUAUUUCAUUUGUCUUUUCUACAUUGAGAACAAUGUAGGUUUUAGGUGUGGGGGAGUAGUUCCCAUUAUUUCUUUUGGUUUCCAUUAUUUCUUUUGGCUUUGGUACAAAAAAAAACAAAAAAUGGAAAACAAAAAAAUGAAAAAAUGAUGAAAACAAUGUAGUUAGUCGGCUUUCUGUUCAUUUCUAUGUUUGUUAGUACUGGAGCAUAUUGCUAUGACGAAUUAUACAAUCAUGGUGCACAGGUAUGUGGUCAAAUAUGCUAGUUGGGCAUUUUGUUUUUGCUUUGCAAUAUCAUUGAAUGUUGAAUAUGCUGGACUUGAUCCAUUCUUAAAACUUUUGGGAGCUUUUGAGCCAUACAUGAGCACAUUAUUCUUGUUUGUUCUAUUUUUGUUUGAUUGAGUGGGUAUCACACAUGGUAUUGGUAUUCUAGAACUUGCUAUUUUGUACAUGUCGAGAUCACAUUUUGUUGAAGUGGAUGCAUUUGAAAUAAUAAGGGCAUUUAGGAUUUGACCUUCUUUAGCUUUCUAAAAACCAUGCAUUCAUCUUAUCUCCCGAUAGUGAAUCAAUUUGAAUUUUUAUCCUUCGCUUUUGUUUGUUAGUCGUGUUUGAUAACCCAUGACCUUUUUAUACUUUCUUGUUCAACCUUGUGUCAUUAAGAGAUGUCUGAAAUUCGGCAAAUAAAUCUAGGGUCGCAAGUGUUGUCAAAAUAGAUGCUGUAUGAUGUUGUUUCUGUACAUCUGAGAUCGAAAAAAAAGAAAAAAAGAAAAAAAAAGGAAAAAAAGGGGAAGAAAUUGUCAAUAAGAUGGUGAAACAGACGACUCUGUCUUACAGGGCGUGCCCACGCCUUGCAAUUACUUAACUCAACCAAAAAAAUAAAAAAAAUUUUGGCGACACUUGCACAGUGGGUGUAGCAAAUGAAACUGCCUUAUUUGUGAAACUCCUCCGGUGAAGCAUUGUGGUUAUAUGGUGGGUUUCUGAUAUUCGAGGCACAUACCGGUUGAAUGAUCCCUGGCAUAACAAAUUCCACAAGUUGCAGCAGCCAUUCUUUCAAUAAGAGAGUUUAGUGCCUCUGAAUAUGCAAACUUAGAAAAAAAACAAGCCUCAUUGUCUUCCCUGGAAACAAAAUCCAGUCUAUCACCAAAAUCCGGAGUGUUAGAAGCCAUAAACUAUAUAAAAAAAAUAAGAGAAAAAUAAACAAAAAAAAAAUGAAAACAAGAUGAACUCAAAAAGAAACAAAUUAAUCUGACACCAGUCCCCGACAACGGCGCCAAAAAUUGACAGGGUGUCGAACCUGUGCAAUAAUAAAUACCUGCUUAAAUAAAAUAUAAUUUCUGUAGAUAGUGAUAAGCAGGGUCGAAUCCACAGGAAUUGGGGAUAAUUUAUUUCUUUAGAGUCCGAAGUAUGGGGGAUUUUUGAAAAUGAGAGUAACUAAACUACUUGGAAUAAAUUAAAAUAAAAUAAAACAACUACAACUCAAAUAACUAAUUAUCACAAUAAAAAUAAUAAUGGACGAACUCUAACCAAGAGACAACUUCGGAGAUGGUUCACUUAAUUCGAUCACAGAUGCAAGGAUUAUUCCAGUUACUAUCUGAUAAAUUAGUUAUAGUUGUCAUACACGCGAUAAACAACCAACUCUUCCUCAAUUUGUCGAAAGCCAAGGUACGACCGUUGACUAUUUCUCUAAUCAGGAAAUAACCUUAGGUACGACCAUAGAAGUUCAAUUCCCUAAUUGCAUGAAUAAUUAGAAGAGCCUAAUUCUAACCAAUCAACACGCUACGAGGGUCUCUUUAAGUUAACCUGUCUAUCUCCCUGACACAAACCCAAUCAUGCCAGUUGCCACCAGUUUAGAAUAAUUAAACAAUUACGGAUUUAACUACCCUAAUUGGUUUCAGGUUAUUGAAUUAAUCUAGAAUCCGGGCCCUGGAUAAUCGAAUAAUAAAACAACCAUAUGAACAUAAAGCAGAAGAUAGACGAAUACCAGUGAAUAAUGAAAAUAAAUAAAAACUAAUUCGAUCUCACAAAUUUAGUAGAACCAAGUCCUCCGUUGUUCCUCGACUAUAUGAGAAACUUAGCCACGCCUCAUGAGAAAAUCUCCAAGUGAUUUUACUGAGGUCCAAGCCAUCAAAGGAACUAAGAAAGAAUAAAACUAAACUAUGCUAAAAACUAAGCUAAAACUAUUGAUAAGAGCUUCUGUGUAUGUUUGUUUCUCUUUUUAAAGCCAAAUGACUAAUACCUUCCCUCUUUUCUGUGGUCCCCGCACGAAUUGAGAGUCCAAUUCCAUCUCACAAGCCUUUGUACGUUUCUUUUCCAAGAGCCCAAAUGACUCAUGCUUCUUAUCUCCGUGGUCCCACGAGAUUCCCCAAUCAAAGUCCAAAAGGUAAGGCCUCUUAAUGUUUCCUCUUUUCUCGUUUCUCAUUGCUCCUAGGACUCCUAGGAUUCAAGACACUCCUCAUCAGCAAAGGAAAUGCAGUCCGCAUCUAUCACAAUGUGGGCCAGGUCUGUGGCUUAGUUGAAGUCUCAAUUGUUUCCAGAAAGUCCCUCUUUUUUUGUAAUUUUCUGCUUCACUCCCUGAAAUUGGGUCCAAUACCAAAUAUAAGUAAAUAUUAAUAAUUAAAAUAAUAUUUGGCAAGGAUAAAAGGGAAAUUAAUAAUAAAAUAACCAAUAAUUAACACCCUAUCAGUUUCGGACAUUCUCUUGACAUAUUACCCCCUAUCUAUACCUUUCUAUCCCAUUUUUUACCUAAGCCCCAUUACAACCCUAUCAAAAUUCCUUUGAUUUGUGUAUUUAGUUCAUUUUUGAGUGGUGGAGAUGUGAUAAAUGUGCAAACUUAUGGUAAUGUCAUUCCGUGAUGUUGAUUUGAGCGUUCCUAGUAUUCAUACAUUUUUUUUGAAUUACCACCUGUCCGGUGUGUUCUAAUUUUGGCAAUAUUGUCAGGAAUGCGGGAUGUUUGAGGUAGUAUAGAUGACUAAGAAACCGUUGCUAUCUUGAUUGUGCUUCUGAGCUCCAAAAUGCUUGAGGGCAAGCAUUGUCUAGAUGUGGGGAGAUUUGAUAGAACGGUUAUUGAACACAUUUUGCACUAUUAUUCUGCCCUAAUUUUGGCUACUCAUGGUGCUAAGAAUUGGGAAUUUGCUCAUAUUUGAUAUUUGUGUAAAUUGUAGGUGGUUGGUGUUAAAAGUAAUCUUUUCAGGCAAAUUUUCAGAAGACCCUUUAUUUCAGAACGUGCCCACGCCAGAAAUUAUGGAGGGUUACCCAAAAAUCGGACCCGCGAGCUUGGUAACAGCGGGAAAACCAAUUAAGGAACCAGGUGCGUGGGAUUAGAACCCUUAGACAAAGCUUGCUCCUGAUUUGACUCCUACAAGUGGCGCUACAAAUAAGAAAACAAGCCAGAUUCACGGGGAAUCAUCUACCUUAGCUUUAGUUUUCCUUUUUUCACAUCUGUCAGACAUCAAAGACUUUUUCCUUGUUUUCUUUGGCUUUUACGUUUUGACUCUUUUGCUUUUGCUUUGGAUCUGUACAAUUUUCGUUGGCUUUGGCAUUGAACUUUCGGAUCCAGUACGGAUUCCAACGCAGAGACAAGCAAGACUUUUCACUUUUUCUUUCUUUGUUACUUCAUCGGUCCACAUUCUUUGAUGUUUGUGUGGAUGAAAUCAAUUAAAUCACGCGAGACUGAUAUGACGAGGAGCGGCUAAAUUUCCCUUCUACCUAAGGGUUAACGCAAAGGCGCGGUCCAUAACAUCUGUGAGAUCUAAUCGAAUUUUCACUAUUUCAUCCAAUUCGUUAUUAUUCAUGUGUUUCCUGGAUUAAUUGUUCGUGGGUAUUUUAUUAAUUGGGUACCAACGGUCGGAUAUUUAAUUUAAUCUAAUAGCCUACUGCCAUAUUAAUUAAAUUGAAUCCGUAAUUGUUCGUUUAGUUGACAACUAGUGGCAACCACCAUAAUUGGUUUUAUGUUGGGAAAACGCAAGAUCUAAUUUAAAUAAACCAUCUCAGCGUGUUUAUUGGUUAGGGUUGGAUUUUUCUAGUUUUAAUGCAACUGGAUAACUAAAUUUUUAUGGUCGUACGUAGGAUUGUUUUCUGGUUAGAGAAUCAGUCAAUGGUCGUACCUUGACUGUCGAAAAAGUAAGGAAGAAUUAGUUGUUAAAACUUAUUGAUAACUAUAACCAACCUAGUGACGGAUGGAUGAAAUAUCUUUGCAUCGAUGAUCAUUUAAUUGGACCGUGCCUGAAAAGUUGAUCCAUUAGGUAGAAUUUUAUUAAUUGCUAUUUUUAGUAAAUUAUACUUGUGGAGUUAUCUUAUGAAUUUUAUUUAUUUUAUUUUUGUUUCCAUCCCAUUAAUCAUCUCCCAAUUUUAUUCUAUUGACUUAGAAAGAAACAACUUCCUACCCGUUCCCUGUGGAAUCGACCCUACUUGCCAUUAUACGCAAAAUUAAUAUUUUUAUAGACAAUUCAGGUAUAUCGAACCAAGCAAACUCUUCGGGAACAGGGUGAAUCAAGUAACCCAUUGCAUACCUAGGGUCCCUGCUCUAGUACUUGGAUUUGUUUUAUAAUUAAAUAGGGACUACUUGUCCUGUAUUCAGAUAUGCCAUUGUAAUAGAACUUUAGUAUACUUAGAUAGUAUAUUAUUUAGGAUAAUUUUUUGACAAAAAUAUUGUAACAUUUUUUUUGAUAUGAUAUAUGUCAGAUAAAAAGAUGAUUGAAAAAUUUGUUGAUGAUACAAACAAAUAAAAUUUGACAAAUAAUCUACUAUCCAAACAAAGACUAGAUUUUCUAUGUGCAAAUAUGCUAGGGUAACCGAUUCACAACACAUUGUAUGAAACUUUAUUCCCCAUGGUGUUGCAUGUUAUUCGUGUUUGUUUUGGUGAUAAUUAAGCCCCAGUGAGGCCAUAAUUGAGUAGAACUUGAAGUAGAAUUUUAUUUAUUUAUUUUUGGAUAAGAUUUUAAGGGACCCAAAUGAUACAAUUUGAAGUAGUAUAUUGAAAAUUCAAGAAUUUGAUAUCUUGGUAUUUCUAGAAUUUAAAAGUUGGAUUUUAACCAAAAAAAAAAAAAAGAAUUCAAAAAGUUGGAUAUUGUGAGAAAAAUCAAGUGGGUCCAAGUUUGUUAUGUCUAUCCUACAAUAGUACAAUGAGUGGACAAUAAUAAAUAUGGGAAAAAUACACUUUUUAUCCCUAAUGUUUAAGGUGUUAACCAAUUUCGUCCCUAAAGUUUCAUGUAAAACAUAUUUCAUCCUUGUAAUUUGAUAAUUUUAACUAAUUUCUUUCUUAAAGUUUCACACGAACACAUUUCAUCCUCAUAGUUUAAUAUAUUUGGCUAAUUGAGGACAAUUAGUGGAUUGUCAAUGAUUUUAAAUAGAAUAUUGUCACUUGACCACAACAUGCCCAUUAGUAAAAAAAAAAAAAACAUUGGAUCAACAAAAAGGUUAAAAAUCUUUUCUUAAUCCACUUUCUCAUUUUGGUACCAAAAAAAAAACUUAAGAAAUUUUUAGCCACCAUUACUGUCUUCUUAAUCACAAUCGAACAAGAAGAUAUAUCUAAAGAAAAUGAAGUCAUGGAAAACAAACAACCCCACUAUAGCCAAUUGGAAAAAAAUGUCAAACAACUCCAUUACAACUAAUUGGAGAAAAAUAUUAAUGUGAAAGAAAGAAUGGUUUGAAUUGUCAUUUAUUUGCAAAAUUUUGUUUUGCUGCUGUGUAUUUUGCACCAACAGUUGUAUCAUGUAUACGUUUUUCAAUCAUCUAUUCAUCUUUCAAUCUAUUUGUUUUAUCUCAAAUGCAUUAUAUCAUAAUUUUAAAAAACAAAGAGAUAGUCUCAUAUCCAAAAACACUUGUUAAUUUUGUAAUUUAAUCAAUAACUGAAUUAAGUAUUAAUAAUACAAUUACUAAUGGGACAUGUGAUGAUAUUAUGUCCAAAUUGGUUAACAAUCAUUUAAUUGUCCUCAAUUGAUAGAAAUUAUGAAACUAUCGGGAUGAAAUGUGUUCUACAUAAAUUUCAGGGACAAUUGGUCUAAAUUAUAAAACUAUGAGGAUAAAAUAUGUUUAGAAUGAAACUUUAGGAACGAAAUUAGUUAACACAUUAAACAAUGGGGAUGAAAAGUGCAUUUUUCCUAAUAAAUAUUUUUGUUUGUUCCUUCUUCUGUCGUUCGUACUAAAACAGUCAACGGGAAUGACGCCGCUCCGAUGUUCACAAAAUAAUUGGUUGGAUUCCAAACUAGGCAUUAAAAUAAGGAAACAAGUCUAUGACUCUCAAUUUGAAGCUGUGCUAUCAUAAAUUGUUUAAGAAUACCGCUAAUGGAACACUUAUUGAGUGUGCAAUGCAAUCAAAUUUUAAUUUUUUGCAAAGUCUAAGUUUUGAAAAUUAAAUACUGGUAAAAACUAUAAUUCGUGGAAAGGUUUUAUAUUUAUUUGACAAAAUAUUUAAUUCACUUCAUAGAGGUAAGAUAUGAAUUUUUAUUCAAUGUGUAAUUGGUUUCUUUUGAAAUAAAAGGUAGUAGUUAUAUUGAGUUUAAUAUAUAUUGUGAGUAGUUGAUGUCUAAAAGUUGCAAAUUGUUUUAGGUAUAUGAAAAAAAGAGAGAUUAUAUUAGGUGUAAAAGCCAACAUAGGUGUUUUAGAGCAUUAAAGCAAGAGAAUAUUGAAAGCUUGGUUUAGGAAAUACUAUGAUAGUUUGAUCUAUUGCAUAUAAGAACGAGAAAAUAACUGUGACCACUUCCUUAUCUUACCAAAGUACAAUUAUAUUUUGUUAAAAAAAAAAUCUCCAGCAAAGGAAGGGUGAGAUUGAUUUAAGAAGCAGGGAGGAAAAAAAGAAUUUGAACUCAGAAAUUUUCACCAAAGAUGCCUUGUUCUAGUAGUUAAAGUUGAAAUUCCAAAAAUUAGAGUAUUGAGUUCAAAUCCCUCUGCUUCCUUCCCACUUUUUAAGUUCCAUGUCUCUCCUUUUUGAAAAAAAAAAAAGAAAUAGUAAAGUACACUCAUGUUAUAGUACAUCACUAUUUGGUACUUUAUAUAUCCCUAUAACAUAUAAGAAGACGUUUUGUGGGUUACUGUUCAUUGCAUUUCAUCUGCCUCCUUGGGGGUUUUUUUGUCAUUCCAGCCUCUUGCUUAUUCUUUUUCUUGGAGCUGGUACAACUGGUUGCUGCUUUGGAGAAUAUGUCUUUUCUAUCCUUAUUACAAGCCUUAGCCGGAUGUUAGUGGAAUGUUGGCUGUUUUGCAACAUUAAUGAGAUUUGAUGCUCAUUUCUAUCAGCCAACUCAUUUGCCUUGUUUAAUUACAUUUUUCUCCUUCCAAAUGCUCAUUGAAUAGACUGAGCAUUUUGAAUUCAUGUGUAACAGAGUCAUUUCACAAUAGCCUUCUACUUUUGCUAUUGAAAAUUAGAAAAUUGAGUCUUCUCUUCUCCGUGUUCUCCUGCUACAUGCAUUCAUUAUCCACAACUCUUUGUCUAUAUCCACAACUCUCCGUUCUAUCCUACUGCCUUUGUUAUUGCAUUGAAAAAUCCCAUAUCUAGGUUCUAUUUCCUUUCUGCUAAAUCUUUGUUUUCUACCUUAUUCAUGAUAUGAACUGUAAACCAUAUUUACUAUUAUUGUCAUGCUUGGUGUUAGCUUUGCAUAUUCAGUGUACAAUGGCUUCAACUGAUGCACUUGCACAUUCAACGGAUAAGAAGAUUCAUUGCAACAGAAGAUUAAGAGAAAAAUAUGCUUCCUUAUCAGUGGAAGAAAAAGAAGCUUGUCGAGCUAAAUAGAAGGAAGCUUAUCUAAAGAGGAGAGCAAGGAAAGCUGCUGCAUCGACGUCUUCUAUGAACUGACAACAAACUAACAGUAUCUUAUUCAGUUUUGCUAGAAAUGAAAGCUGUGGUAUAAAUGUUUGGUGCUUCGCGUUUAUAUUGGUUUCUUUAGAUUUCUACUUAACUAGUUUAAUGGUUGAUUAAACUUCUUUAUGUGUAAAUUGACAGCAAACUUCUGUAAUAAAUAUAUACACAUGGAGAAGAGCUGUUGAGUUUGCCUGUAUCUGAAGUUUUUGAGUUUUCUGCUUCGCUGCCUUAAUAUUGGAUUAAAAAGAAAUCUUUAUGUUUGAAUUAAAAAAAAAUCUAUAAGAGAUGCAUGCGAAUGGAGAACAGCUUCUAGUUACUGUGAAAAGCUGUGCCAAUAUUUAAAUUAAAAUUGUAAUUUGCAUUAUGCUAAACAUGAUGUAAAUUAUCAAAACCUUUUAAUUCAGGUGCACAACUUCUAGUUUCGUGUGACCUAUGACAAAAUAAUGACCACAAUAACCAACAGGCUAUUGCUAUUAAACCACUUCCACAACAGAGUAGAGACAAAGAGGCUAAUUUGCAACAAUCUAUUGCUAUCAAAUUGGUUGUGCAACAACAUAACAAAAGUAAUUCUCUGUGCAAAUGCAAUGCUGAAUUAGAAGGCAAGUUGAAGAGGCAUGUUUUCUUGACAUUUGAACAUGGUAUGCUUGCACAAGUUCAUUACUCUUUAAAUUUUCUACGCCAAGUUGUUCCCUUUUUUUUUUUUUGCUCUUCUAUGUUUAUACAUGCAUUUUUUGAUCUUAUGUUCAUAUAGGUUCUUCGUUAAAAAGACAUUAAUUUAUAAAUGUAAAAGAAUCAGUAGACUAAACGUUUCAAGUAUAUCUUGUUAUAAUCAUAUUUAUCAAUGUACGCUUCAUAUAAUAAUUUCUAUGCUUGCAACUAGUAGGUGAUCCUCCUAUAUGUGAUAGCUGCUAUAAAUUCUUGCAUGAAACAGUUGAUGAUCUUGCAGGUUGAAAUCCUUAAUCCUAUUUUUAUAAAUAUUUGCUCAAUGUCGUUUGGUUGCUAAACUUGAUUUAGGCUCUUACAGUUUCUUAUUUGCCUAAUCAGGUAUAUCUAUGACAAUAUGCCCUCAACCAGUGGAAGCCAAUGUUUCUCAUGCCAUGAAAAAUUGUCCAAAAGGUAUGCAUAUCUAAAAUGUAUCUGGAAAUGUUGUAGAAUCUAUAUGUAUGUAUAUCAGCAGCAUGAUUUUUUUACCUCGUAACUAACCAGAUUAUUGAACUACCAACUAGAGUAAGUAAGCGCAAGUAGAUUCAUUGCUCACUCGAACCCAUUCCUCUUGCUCUACCUAUUGAGUGCACAGAUGACUCGCGAAAAAAACUAUAGAGAGCGACCGAAGCUCGUCAAGCCCCGAUCCUUCUUCAGCCAUAAGAAAGCCAAGACCAGACUUGGGGAGAACUACUCUGUCCACACCUGUCCCAUUCCUUCUCUCUUCAGUAAGCGAAUCAGCCAGUAAACUUGAAUCUGUGGGUAGCACAAAAAGAGUAGCUUGGUUCCGUUUCGGUUUAUACACCAGGGCCAAAACCUUACCAUGCCAACACUCUUCCGGUUCGAUAAGACCAGCUCUUUCUAUAGCUGCAUUUCAUCUUCCCCUCAAUUGCUCUGUAGGCAAAAGCUCAAGCCAAAGGAGAUCAAACAUCCAAGCAAAGAAGGCUUGCAUGCAAAACAAGGGUAUCAUUGCUGUUUCUUUAUCUUACAUCUAUACAUAUUCAAAUAUUUAUACCUCUUUCAUAUGCACAUAAAAUAGUCAUAAAAAUGCUUUGUGUCCUAUUAUUCUACAACAUCUAAAAAUAUAGCUGGUGUAGAUGUUCUGAAUUUCAUUAACCAUAGUGCAAACCGCCUCCCUGAUGCAUUAGAUUGUAAAUAUUGUGGAUCAAAAAAAUUCUACUCAGAGACAGCAAACUUUUGCUAUUUUGAUGGCAAAGUUCUGCUCCAUGAAAAUAAGCUACCUAACAUCUUAAUUGAACUUUUUAGUGGUCAGAGCGGAGAAGCUAUACAAUUUCGAACCUAUGUCAGGACCUAUAAUAGCAUGUUUGCAUUUACUUCAUUUGGUGUUCACUAUGAAAAAUCCCUCUGCAAGAGAACAAAUGAAAUCUAUAUAUUCAAGAUACAAGGCCAAACCUAUCAUUUCAUCAAUGAACUAAUAAGGCAUGGAGGAUUAGGAAUGUAUCUUCAGCUUUAUUUUCAUGACACAGAACAUAAAAUUCAGAAUCGAUUAGCAAUAUCAAAAAAGCUGACUGAAAGUAUUGUAGUCAAACUAAUGGAAGUAAUGAAAGAAAAUCCAUAUGCUUGCUUCUUCAGGAGUUUGAGAAAUCUCCCAAACUUCGACUCAUAUCAUAUAGUUUUAAAAUCUCACUCCGACAAUGACCAGCAAGUGUUUAAUAAACCUGCUGUAUCUCAAGUUGCAGCUUUAUGGGUUAAAUGAGAAAACGCUAAUCAAGGCUAUUCUAGACACAUACAAAUAUAUACUAAAGAAGGACAUAGCCACCGCAUUCAAUAUUACUACGGCUACUGUGACCCUCUUCAGUAUUCACUACUUUUUUCAUUCGGAGAAACUAGAUGGCAUCCAGGUAUACAACAAUUAGGGAUAGACAAUCCAAAAAAGCGUAAAAGAAAGACUAUGAUACAUUCAUGUUUAGCUACAUUGUCCAGCAUUAAGUCGGCAGAAGAAAUGAUUGAUCUCGAAGAAGAAGGUAACACACAUAUACCAUUAUUAUAUAUAACUGUAUUGAAUUACAGUUAUCUCUUCUUUGACAAAUAUUCUAAAUCUUACAGCUUACAAGGCAAAUGAAAACUCCAAGGAAUAUGUAUCCAUGAUACAGUAUUAUGCAUAUAAAUUCUAGAUAAGAAAAAAAAUUGGGCCAAAUAUUUUAAACGCUUGAAGAGCUUUGCAACAGUAUUCAGUUGAUUUGUACGUUAAAAUAGAGACACAAAGACGAGAUUUUUAUAGAAGCAGACAACAGCAAAUACGUCAAGAGCAGCUACAAGGAAUUAUAGACAAUAUAAUACAGGGACAACAAAAUGGAUUUCGGAUUGAACUGCGAGUAAUAUUGCCUGCAUCAUUUAUUGGAGGCCCUAGAGAUAUGAAAAAAAAGGUAUCUUGAUACUACGACUUUGGUCCAGAAAUUUGGGAAGCCGGAUCUUUUUAUAACUAUGACUUGCAACCAAUCAUGGCCUGAAAUUAAAGAAAAUCUGUUAUAAUCAGAUGAAGCAUAGAAUAGGCUUGAUCUUAUUCCUCGUGUGUUCUAUGCAAAGUUAGAAAUUAUAAAGGAAGAGUUAUUCAAGAAGCAAAUAUUUGGAGAAAUAGUAGCCUAUACUUAUGUUAUAGAAUUUCAGAAACGUGGUUUGCCUCAUGCUCACUUUCCAAUUAUCCUCAAGCCUACUUUCAAAUUAUAUACAAUAGAAGAUUAUGAUUGUAUAGUUUUUGUAGAAAGACCCGAUGAAACACAAAUGAGCAUCUCUUUAGAAUGGUCAAGAAACAUAUGAUGCAUAGGCCGUGUGGCGAGAAAAAAACCUGAUACUGUAUAAAUACAGGAUGUAUCAAAGAAGUAUUGCAAGAAUAAUUAUCCAAAGGCAUGGGCAGAAAAAAUUAGACAUUCUUCGAACUCGUAUCCAACAUACAGAAGAAGAAAUGAUAGCAAAAAAAAUUUUAUCCGGGGGCACUACUUAGACAACAUAUGGGUAGUGCCAUACAAUGCUUAUCUAUUGGCCAAAUUCAAUUGCCAUAUAAAUGUUGAAAUUUGCUCCACAAUUAAGACCGUCAAGUAUGUGUAUAAGUAUACAUACAAAGGUCAUGCAAGGAUACAUUUUCAAGUGAAUUCAGGUGAUGGAGCAAAUGCUAUUGAUGAAAUCAAGGAAUAUCAGUCAGCACAGUAGGUAUUUGCAGUUGAAACGAUGUGGAGGAUAUAUAGAUUUCACCUUUACGAAAUGCAGCAUACUGUAAUAUAGCAUCAACUCCACCUAGAAAACUUCCAAUCUAUGCUCUUUCAACCAAAUGAUAGUCUUGACAAUAUAUUAAGUAACAAUUUUGUAAAAAGAAACUCACCCAAUUUUUUUAAAUGAAUGCUACAGAUAAUUUAACAAAAAGUUUCAAAUGUACCUACAAAGAAUCCCUCGAACAUUUUGUGUGGUAUCCAAGUUCCAAAUCUUAGCAACCUAGCAACAAAGAGAUUUUAUCAGUAGAGUUGUUGCAGCAAAUCCCCUUGAAAGUGAACGGUACUUCUUAGGACUCCUUUUACUGCAUGUUAAAGCCCCAACUUCUUAUGAUGAUUUAAAAACUGUAAACGGAGUGCAUGUUACUACAUUUUGGGAAGCAGCUGCACUUAGAGGAUAUCUGGAAUCAAAUAACUUACAAGAACAAUUUCUAGAAGAAACUAUUGUUUAUCAUAUGCCAUAUAGCCUAAGGAUGUUGUUUGCAACAUUAUUGGUUUACUUUACUCCCUCAAACCCAAGAACACUAUGGUUGAAAUUUGAAGAAUCAUUGUCUAAAGAUUACAAUGGAGUCCCAAACUUAACCAAAAAUGAUAUUCAAUUUAAAGUUUUACAUCAAAUAAGCAAUUUUUUAGAAUCUAUGGGUCGUAACAUAAACAGCUAUGGGCUGGUGCCAAGAGUACUAAAAUUUCACGACUCAAAUCACAAAUGCAAGAGAUACAAUUAGUGAAACAGAGAUUAAAGUUUCAGAGGAUGACUUGAUAUCAAUUACUAAAAUCAAUCCUGGUCAAAAAACAGCUUUUGAUGCUAUAAUGCAGGCGUUAUACAUUAAACAAAAGGGAUGUUUCUUUAUCGAUGGACCAGGUGGCAAACAGCUCACUCUCAAAUGAGUAAACAAAGUGAACUUGCUAAACUUAUUCAAACAGCUAAACUUAUCAUUUGGGACAAAGCUCCAAUGGCACACAAAACUAGUAUAGAAGGUGUGGAUGCACUACUAAAAGAUUCGAUGGAUUCUUCUGAAUUAUUUGGCUCAAACGUUAUGAUUUUUGGUAGUGAAUUUAGACUAGUUCUCCCCAUUGUCACUAAAGGUUCAAAGGAAGAUUUCACAUAAGCUAGCUUAGUAACUUCACAUAUUUGGCCAUAGCUUCAUAAACUGUACCUCACAGAUAAUAUGAAAGCAAUAUCAGACCCAAAAUUUACAAAUUACCUUCUCUGAAUAGGAAAUGGACUAGAACCAACAAUACAAGGGUUGAAAGUAAGGAUCCCUCUCCCACUACUAAUACCAUACAAAAGUGAAACAGAAUCAAUUUUUGAACUUAUUAAAAUAGUUUACCCAAAUGUGUUAAAUAAUUUGUUAAUUGAAAUUUUUUCAGGUGAGUCUCAAAAUUAUAUUAGUCGUGAUAAAACACAUGAAAUUUCAGAACAAGGCCAAUUUGAAGACUUUCUCAACAAAUUAACAUCCAAUGGUUUCCCCCUCCCACACAAGCUUAUUCUGAAACCAAAUUGCCCAAUAAUUCUUCUAAAAAACAUUGAUCCCCCAGAAGGCUUGUGCAAUGGAACAAGGUUAAUAUAUAAAAUUUUGACUAACAAUAUUAUUGAUGCGGUUAUAAGUGCUGGAGAAUUCAAAGGUAAACAAGUCUUUUUACAUAGAAUAUCUUUCCAAAUAGAACAUGAUACUGAUUGCCCGAUGUCAUUUGAAAUACUUCAAUUUCCUGUGCGUCUAUGUUUUGUGAUGACAAUUAAUAAAGCUCAAGGUCUAACUUUAGAUUCCGUUGGCAUAUACUUAUGUGAACCAAUUUUUUCACAUGGCUAACUAUAUGUUGCUUUAUGAAGAGUAAAAAAUAACAAUUGUGUAAAGAUUCUUAUACAGCCUUCUCCCUUUGAUCCAACAGUUGACUAUGCUACUAAUAACAUAGUAUACAAAGACAUUUUAUAGCUUGCAAGUCGCCACCUUUUAUAAUUAUUGAUUACAACAUUAUGACAUUCAUAUCCAUUGCACUUCUUCCCUAUACCUUUUCUGCGCAGCUAUAUUUCUGCACUAAUAAUAGCUUAACACCCAAUGGUUUGUCAUGCAUUGCUCUAUAUUUCACUUGCUUUUAUACUUUGUUAACCUAUAAAUAUGCAAGAAUCAAUGCUGCUAAUAGUUUAGCUGGACCUUCUUAAACUAAUAUUUAUCACUGUAUAUUUAUCUGGUAGCAUUAUACUGAUUCUCCAACAAUUACUGAUUAUCAUUCAUUUAGCCAAAAUACAUUAGAAAAAGCUAUCUUCAUAUUACAACAAAAAAUAAAGAUUAGCCAAAAAAAUUAUGAUUUAUUAUCUGUAACGCCUUCCUUACAUAGCAAGUCACUCAAGGUGUUUAAAAUAACUACUAUAUGAUUUUCUUUAGAAUAACUAACUUUGGCUAAUUUCAAUUUAAUUUGAACAGGUACUAUUUGAUUCUUCUAAAUGUGUUUUUUUACAAAUGACUAUUAUCUCUUUUUGUCAUGCUUAAUCUUCUUGUAGUAAAGUACUUAUUUUUCCAUGCUGAACAUUGAUGUCCUUUUAAUAAAUGAUAAAAUGUUGUAUAUGCAUAUAUAUUUUUCUGCCAUAUAUGAUUAUCUUCACGCCUCUGCCUUAUGUUUAAGCUUCAAAAAUUCAUAAUGCCUAGAUAUCCCUUGAGCUUGAAAUAACUGCGAUCUGUGACAAAGAUGAACUCCUUUCCAUAUUGAAGCAUAUAGACACAACUUGCUAUCUCUUACUCUUGUGUUACUUUGAGAGUUCAUGUUUUGUUCUAUUGAUUUGUGCUUACAUAUUCAUAACUGCAUCCUAUAAUUCAAUUUGUGGUUACACAUAAGGCAUCCAGGCUUUCUACAAGCUAUGUGAUCCUAAAUUCUAUGUUAAACGACAGAUGUCCAAACAUCUAAGACAUUACCAUCUCUACAUCUUCGCUGCCAGCUACCACUGCUUCAAUUCUUGAGUCAAUUUCCAUUUGAGCCACUAGCCCUUCUGAGUCAAUUUCUAUCUAUUACCGAAUACUUGCCAACCUUUCAUUUUCUCCAGACGCCCUAACAAUAAAGAAGCAAACCAUUUUCAAUCUCACUCAUUUGCAUAGACAGCAAAAUAAGGCAAAAUGGGUUAAGAACCUUCUCACCCAACUUCAGUCCUUCUUUUCCUUGAUCUACAAAGCAAAAACUUCAAAAAUUGUUUGUGCAAUUGUUGAUACGCUGACCAAAAUACUUGGUACAUUUGAUCUUCAGAUUGCCCUAUGCAAGGAAAUUGUACAAUGAAUGCAUAAUGAGAACCAAACUUUCCUCUGUCUGUGCACUAAGGCAAAACUCGCAACUCUUUUGAUGGAGAACGAGGAGUAUUCUGAAGCUCUAACUCUCCUUUCUUACACAUUAGAUAACAUUAAAUAACAAAUUGCUUUUCGUAGACAUUAGAUUGUUAAAGAGGAAGCUUCAUUACUCUUUCAAGAAUCUAUCUAAGACCAAAGCUGCACUUAUAGCUAUAACAAUACAUACUAUUUGAACAUUUACUAUUUCAUUCUCAUAAACAUUAGAACUUGUAGGCUCUUAUUAUCUCUUUAGUUACACAAUUGCUCGAGUAGUUCAGUAUUUCACCAUGAGUCUCCAACUGUUCCGCUGAAGUUGAUCUCAAAAGGUUUCAAGGUUCAAAAUUGGCUAACAAGAAAAGAAAGCUUACACAUUGAAAAAUAUUCUGUUGAAUAAGUAAUGCCUUAUGUGUAUUUCCUAUCACCUUAGCAUUGAGUUAAGCUUAUGCUUCAUUUAUGGUGCAAAUAAUGUCAAAUCUUUUGCAAAUAAUGCUUCAUUUAUUGAGUUAGUUUAUACUUUUACAACUGUCCUUAGGAAAUGUUCAAAAAAUAGAGGUUAAUGUUCAUUGCAUUUCAUCUACUCUCCUCGAGGGCACUUUUGUCAUUCCAGCCUCUUGCUUCUUCUUUUUCUUGGAGCUGGUACAACUGGUUGCUGCUUUUGUUUGGAGAAUAUGUCUUUUCUGCCCUUAUUACAAGCCUUAGUCGGAUGUUAGUGGAACAUUGGCUAUUCUAUAGAUGCUCAUUUUCCUCCUUCCAGAUGCUCAUUGAAUGGACUAAGCAUUUUGAACUCAUGUGUAAUAGAGUCAUUUCACAAUAGCCUUCUAUCUUGUACGAGAUGUUGACACAAGCUUGAACUAGCUUGUCAGUUAUUGCUUUUUUUUUUUAUAGCAAGAUACACAUAAUUCUUGCAAUUUUAUAACAAGAAACUCACACUAUUUUUAGCGAUUCUAUUGCAGGAUUACCAGAGAAGCUAAGUAUGAUUAAUGUCUCUAGCAUUAUGGUCAAUGUCUUUAGCGCUUGACAUCAUUUAAGCUAACAAUAUUAAUUUCAGCUGAACGUUGAUGUCCUUUUAAAAAAUGAUAAAAUGUUCCAUAUGCAUUUUUUUCUACCAUAUAUAAUUAUAUUACCAUAUAUAAUUAUAUUCAUAGCUCUACCUUGUGCUUAAGUUUUAGGGAGCCGUAAUACCUAUAUGUGCCUUCCUACUUAGUUUUAGCUUAUGAAAGUCAAGAUAUAUUAAAUAAUAAUAUAUUAUGUGUCAAAGAAAAACUUCUUUCCGCAUUGGAGCAUACAGACAUAACUUGCUACAAGAGCUAUUAAAUGGAACGAGCAGCUCGAAAGCUCGAUUGAGCUUGACUCGAUAAGGCUCGAGCUCGACUCGUUAAUUGUGAUAAACGAGUCGAUCUCGAGCUCGAGAUAUGCUCGUUUAAUUAACAAGCCGAAUAAACUCGACUCGUUUGUUAUCCGAAUAGCUCGAUUAGGCUCGAUAAGGAAGGGUGUAUAUGUCAUUUCACAAUACAACAGUAUAAAAUUAAAAAUUAUAAGUUUUUAUUGAGAUCAAUUUGCAAGCUCGGCUCGUUUGUGAUAAAAGAGUCGAGCUCGAGCCCCACAUGUCCCAUUUGGCGAGCCGAGUCCAAACACAUUUCAAAACUCUUCCGCCUAGUCGAGCGAGCUCGAGUUUGGCUCGAGUCGAGCUCGACAACCAAAUACUCAACUUGACUUGGCUCGAUUAGCAGCACUAUUUGCAACCUCUUAGUCUUAUGUUAGUUUCGCAGUCCAUGUUUUCUUCUACUGAUUUCUACUUGCAUUUGAUAUCAGAGCCUAGAACUUCAUGUGGUGAAAGCAGUUGCUGAUGCUAAUUCAUUGUAUGACACUUUCAGUAUUUCCUCCAUUCUAUUCUCUUGUUGCAUACUAUUGUGUUUAUACAUUUAUUCUAUUUAUAGAUUGUGUAUACAACUUUCGCUUUGCUGCUAUUAUCUAUUUCUUAUCUUCAAUUUCUUUUCUCUUAUGAUAGGUUGCAAUUUUAUCAUUUAUUUUAUUAUUAAUUUCCCUUAUUACCUGACCCAAUGUGGAUUAAUUAUUAAAUUCUACUCAUUUUUAGUAUUUUACAUUUAUUUCAGGGAGUAGAACGAAAAUAUGAUAACAAGUGUCAAUUUGACUGAAAAAGAGUCCAAAUAAUAGAGCUUAUCCCAAGGGCAUUUUUGGAACAAAUAGAUGCUAGCCCUUUUCGGUAAUUUUGUCGAAGACAACAUGGAAAAAGAACCAAAGGGCUGAAGUCUUCUUGGGAUUGCAUGGGCCGCCGCCGCACAGGAGCCAAGCUUUAGAAUGGCUAGGUAUUAGAUGGAAAGAAAAACGCAGAGAACAAGCACUAUAAAAGCUUAGCCGUGAACUUUUCCUUUCAUCUUUAGUUCCUCUUUGACUUUUCUUUUCGGUAUUUUUUGUCCUUUAGUAGCUUUGCUCCCUGCGCAUGUCAGGGAGAAUUAGGAAUUAGCUAUCACUUCUGGUAGUUUGUUUUUCUUAUCGACUGGGACGAAUUGAAUCUUCUUAACUCUCGGAGACGAUGGCCGAGACUCUUGUUUCAAUUUUGUGUGGAUUUUGUUCAUCAAUUAUGAACUAAUUUCCUCACUCUAGUCAAGGGACAACGGAUGCUUUGGGUCGCCUAAAAUUGUGAGAUCGAUUUAAUUUUAUAUUUUCUUUUUAUUUAUUGGUAUUCGCAUAUUUCCUGGUUACAGUGCUUAUGAUUGUUUAAUUAAUUGAUUGUCUUGGGUCCGGAUAAUUAGUUAAUUUGAUAAUCUAUUGUCAAUUGGGACGUUAAAUCCGUAAUUGUUUAAUUGUCUCAAAAUAGUGAUAACUGGCAUGAGUGGGUUUGUGUCAGAGGAAUAUGCGGGCUAAUCUGAAAUAACCCUGGUAAUGCGUUAUUUGGUUAGAAUAGGGCUCAUCUAAUACGUAAGGCAAUUGGAGAAUUAAAUUCUAUGGGCGUACCUAGGAUUAUUUCUCAAUUAGAGUAGUGAUUAACGGGCGUACCUUAAUCACCGACACAGUAAGGAGGGGUUGACUGUCAUCGCUUAUUUGGUAGUUAUAACCUAUUUAUUGAUAAAUAAUUGAAAGUGCCUUUGUUUCGAUGAUCAAUUAGGUGAACCAUUGCUGAAGUUAUUCCUUGGCUAGAUCUUUGAUUAAUUUUACCUUGAUUUUAGUAAAUUGCCAUUUGACUUUUAGUUGCCUAUUUUAUUUUAUUUUUAAUUGUCUUCUUGUUCUAAUUGUUUUGGAUCAUUAAUUAUUGUUACGUUAAGUUUAGUGAAUUGCCGUUUAAUUUCUAGUUAGUAUUUAUUUUUAUUUACUUAUUGGAAUUUAUUUGAUUGUCGUCGUUCCUACAAAAUUACCCCCUUGUGUUACCUUGGAUUUCUUAAGAAAUAAAUAUACCCAAUUCCUGUGGAUACGACCCUACUUGUCCUGUCUACAAAUUCAUAAUUAUUUGUGAGAAAAAAUAACCAUCCCAUUCGGGUAUAUCCGAUCAAGCAAACUCUUCGGGAACAGGGUGAAUCAAAUAACCCAUUGCACACCUAGAGUCCCUGCUCCAGUACUUGAAAUUGGAUUUUGGUCAUUUUAACUGGCAAUUAGGUUUAAUUUUACUAUUGUACAGGCCUCGACGCUCUGUCAAUUUUUGGCGCCGUUGCCGGGGACUGGCGUUAUUAUUUGUUUCUUUUAAAUUCAUUCUUGUUUUAAUUUUCUAGUGCUUUUCUAGUGUAUGCCUCGGUCUUCUCGUACAGGUGAUUUGAUUUUUGACCCUGAAGUAGAGAAGACUGCGCAUAGAACGAGAAAGAAAACCAGACAGUUCAAAAAGGAGCACUCCAGUGCUGCAUCUCAGAGACCUGAGCCAGAAGUUGAACCAAUAGAUUUGUUUGAUGACACUUCAAGUGACUCUGACUAGGAGAAAGGAACCAUGGCUAAUGCACGAAUAUUAAGGGAGUUGGCUGCUCCUAACUUAAAUCAGCAGCCUUUGUGCAUUACUUUCCUAAAUUUAGAUGAUAGCAUUCCAUUUGAAUUAAAAUCUGGCCUAAUUCAUCUUUUACCUUCCUUUCAUGGUUUACCAGGUGAGGAGCCGUAUAAGCAUCUGCAGGAGUUUGAUGUUGUGUGCAACAGUAUGAAACACCCGGAAAUCACAGAAGAGCAAAUAAAAAUGAGGGCAUUCCCCUUUUCCUUGAAGGAUUCUGCAAAGGACUGGCUGUACUACCUGCCACCAGGUAGCAUUACCACGUGGGACUAAUUAAAGAAAAAUUUUUUGGAUAAAUAUUUUCCUGCGUCCAGGACUGCAAGUCUAAGGAAAGAAAUUUGCGGGAUCAAGCAGCACCCAGGGGAGUCACUCUAUGAGUAUUGGGAGCGAUUCAAGAAGUUGUGCAACAAAUGCCCUCAGCACCAGAUAAGUGAGCAGUUGCUCAUACAGUAUUUUUAUGAGGGCUUCUUUUCAGAGAUAGGAGCAUAAUUGAUGCUGCAAGUGGAGGGGCACUGGUGAACAAAACCCCUCGGAAAGCACGGGCGUUAAUAAAGGGGAUGGCAGAGAAUUCGCAGCAAUUUGGUACGAGGGAGGAUGCUCCGAUACGCAAAGUGAACGAGGUAGAGACAUUCUCUAUCCAGUAGCAGUUGACUGAAUUGACUUCUUUUGUUAGACAACUGGCUAUAGGAAAUGCAUAUCAGGUCAAGGUGUGCGGGUUUUGCACUGGUAUGGGUCAUUCUACAGACAUGUGCCCAAUGAUUUACGAAGAAAGUGCAGAGCAAGUGAACAUGGCUGGUCACGCGUCCGCGCCAAGAAGGCCCUAUGACCCCUAUUCAAGUACCUACAACCCUGGUUGGAGGGACCACCCUAACCUCAGUUAUGGAGGGAACAGGCAGACUAACUUCGUGCCAAAUAAAUAACAAGGGUACCAGCAGCAGAACCAACCUCGACCAGCUCCGCCCCCAAGCUCUGGUCCAUUUUUGGAGGAAAUGAUGAAACAACUGAUGGCAACCAUUACGCAAAAUCAGCAAAGGACGGACUCUGAAAUGCAGGAUAUAAGGAAUCAAAUGAGUCAAAUGGCCACAAAAAUCAACCGUUUGGACUCCCAAGUAAAUGGAAGAUUGCCAUCCCAACCUGAACUGAACCUGAAGAACGUAAGUGCAAUGACUUUAACGAGUGGGAAGGAAAUUCAGGGGCCCGAACUUGUGACUCCAAAGGAUAAGGACGAAGAGAAGAUUGAGAAAGAACUUCAAGCAGAGAAUACAAGUACCAAAAAUCCAGUGGUACUCCCUGAUCCGAUCAUAGACGUUAAAACUAAUCCCACUCCAUUUCCUUGCAAGUUGGAGAAAUCGAAGAAACAGGACAAUGAGAAAGAGAUCUUGGAGGUGUUCUGCAAGGUAGAGAUCAAUAUUCCCUUACUAGACACCAUCAAGCAAGUGCCGAAGUAUGCAAAAUUUCUGAGGGAUCUAUGUGUCAAUCGAAAGAGGCUGAGGGAAGAUGAAAGAGUUAUUGUUGGGGAGAAUGUGUCAGCAGUUCUCCAAAGAAAACUCCCACCAAAGUAUGGGGAUCCAGGUAGAUUUACUGUCCCAUAUAAGAUAGGUAAUACUCUGAUUAGGAAUACCCUGCUGGAUUUAGGAGUAUCGAUCAACGUAAUGCCUAAAUCUAUGUAUGCUUUUUUGAACCUCGGUCCAUUAAAAAAAUCGAGAUAAUAAUUCAAUUAGCUGACCGAACAAAUGCAUACCCUGAUGGGUUGGUAGAGGAUGUGCUGGUUAAAGUUAAUGAAUUGAUAUUCCCGGCUGACUUUUAUGUACUUGACAUGGAUGAUGAUCAUUCCCCUAACCCCUCACCUUUGCUACUAGGUAGACACUUUUUGAGCACAACACAGACAAAAAUUGACGUUAAUAAGGGUACAUUGUCCAUGAAAUUUGAUGAAGAACUAGUCCACUUUAAUAUUUUCGAUACAAUGGAACAUCCUGUUAACUCUCACCCUGUGUUUGCUAUUCAUGCUAUUAAUCCCUCUGUGCAAGAAUUUUCUGAAUUUGCUUGUAGGGAUAAAUUCAAAUUUAUUGAGAACAAGUAUAAGGGGAUGAAAGUAUUGUAUGAGGUGAAAAGGAGUAGAAAAUUAAGAAAGAAAGCUGCACUCAAAGGCUAUUUGGAUCCUGGAGGAGGGCCACCGAUUUCCAGGAAAAUUGAGUUACACCCAAAUUGAAGAGUGGUGUUCAAUGUCUAGCCAAACACAUUAAAAAAAGGCGCUCAUUGGGAGGUAACCCAAUUGUUUCUUUUAAUUGUUUGUUUGAUUUCGUGUGAUAGUUUAAAUAUGUUUUCCUUGAAUUUGACUGAUUUCGGGUUUCAAUUUUCGUUUUUGAUGAUUUGUAGGUGUCCUUCUAUCAUGACAUGCCCGCGUCAUGACGUAUGGAGAGCUCACGGUCAGAAUCGUCAGAAGGGAUUCCUGCCCUCAUGACGCGCCCGCGUCAUAACGUAUAGAAAGCUCACGAUCAGAAUCGUCAGAAAGGGUUUCAGUCCUCAUGACGUGCCCGCGUCAAGUCCCAUGAAGAGCUCAUGAUCAGAGAGCUCUCUUGCUCUCAUGACGUGCCCGCGUCAAGUAACCUGAAAAGCUCUUCACUCCGUGCCUUCGUCACAUGCCCACGUCACAUUCGCGGGAAAGGUAAGUAUUCAAAAAAAAACUCAAGAACGAUUAUUGAUUUCCUGUUAAUCUCUACUUUUGAAUUCCAAAAAUAAAUUUUGUUAAUAAUUAAAAAAAAAGAUGAUAUAUGUAAAAAAAAUUCCAAAAAAAAAAAUUUUCAAGUAAGUAACAAGGAGAAAAAAAAAAGGGGAGUCUUUCCGUGAAAAAAAAAAAAAUUUCUAAAAUGAAAAAAAAAACGAAAAAGCAAAAAAAAAAAAAAGCAGAAAUACUAUUUUCUUUUUCUUUUUCUUUCUUCCCUAUUCUUUCUUUUCUUUCCUUUUCUUUUUUCUUCUUUCGAAUUUGUGGUUCAAGGCAUGUUGUGGAGAGCACAAGGCAUAUUUUCCUCAAUUUGAACCAUACUUCAGGAAUUAAAAUAAUUUUUUCUUUUUUUAUUUUUCUUUCAAUUUAUCUAAUUUUUAAUAUUCAUUUUUAAGAUUUAAAAUAAUUAUUGAUUCAAAACUAUUAUGGAAGCAAAUAUAUGGUUUUUAUAAAAUAAUAAACAAAAACUUUUUUCUAUUUUUUUGGAUUGCUUCAAGGUUAAUAAAAUAAAAAUAUGUUCUUUUUUUAAUGCAGCAUGGCCUCAAUAAGGGCAUUUUCGGUAUUAAGGGGAUUUUUGUUAAAUGUUUAAUCAUUCAAAGGGUGAGACCGUUAUUUGGACAAAUUACAGGGAUUAAUUGGUAAUAUGGUCAAAUCUCAGGGGAGGUAAAUGUAAUUAACCCUAUCUUUAGUUAUGAUAAUCCGCUUGCGAUCAUUACUGAUUUCACAAUCACUGUCUUUGGAUACCAUUCUAUGAAACAUUUCCAGUUUUUUUUUUUUUUCUACUUGUAAUUGAAGAUAAUUUCCACAGAACUAGUCAAUAAUAAUCCACCAUCAACUGUGAGAAAGCAAAACACCUACAAAUCAAUUGCAAGUGCGAAGGCUCUGAUUUGGUGCUGAAUUGGGCACUUAUUCGUGCCAAUUCAAUCCUAAAUUUUCCUUCCCCAUUCUUCAACCUUUCAAUAUCCAGUUACAAGAAGAACAAAAAAUAGUGAACAACCAUCAAUUCAGUUUUGGCAUUUUUCCAACAUGCUUGCUUGAUUGCUAUGACCGUAGGGCAGUUUCCUUUUUCCGUUAAUCUAAUUCCGUGAUGGGUCAAUAGAAAAUUCAUCCGAAUUCAGUCUUUCUCACGUAAGAAGAAUAUAUGAUUACAAAUGACCAAAUAAAUUAAAGAGGGACAAAUUCAAGAAGACCAAUAAUAUAAAAAUUCCAAACAUCCAUAGGUUGCACACAAUAAUUCUCACAAAUUUUAAGUUAUAAAAAAAGAAAUUUUGCAAAGGAGGGCCCUACUUCGAUGCUGGCACCGUGACGAUGAACUGCCAGAUUGGGGUCUCUUUCAUGUUUUGGUUUAUCCUUUUUAGGGUUGUUAAAAAUUAAAUUUGGGGAGAUAAGGUUGACGAUUGAUGAAAUCUGAUGAAGAAAGUUGUUUUUUCUAUGGCAUAUUGAAGAAUGGUGGUAUAUUCGAUCAAUGGUAUCCAAUAGUCUUGAAAUAGAAACACAAUUUUUUUUUUAUUUAAAAGAGACUUUUGUUUGUUUUUUAAAUUGAUAUGCAUCACAAAGUGUAUCCUUUUUAAGUUAAUUUUGAGCAAACCUCUAAUGAGUUCCUUUGUGAAAAUUUCAUUUAAUAAAUCCAUAUUGAAAUGACAAAGCCUUCUAUUCCGCAGUUAAGGAUCAUCAUUUGUAACCUUAAGACACUAAUCUUACUAUCAUCAAUUUUUCAAGAUAUAUCACAUAAAUAUCAUUGUAUCUUUUGCCUUUGAAUACAACAUUAAAAUUAGUAUCAAGAAUCAAAUAUUCAUGCCUUUUAAACAAUACAUAAAGAUAUCUAUCACAUAAUUGAUUAACACUGAACGAAUUAUAGCUUAAGUUAUGAACCAAAACAAUAUUUUGAAUGAAAGUGUCACCGUUUUUGUCAAUAUCUCCUAUUCAAAUGGUUUUAACCUUCAUGUCAUCUCUAAAGGUGAUCUUUUCACUACUUUCUAGCUUGAACUUGAUGAAUAGAGGUGGAAUACCAGUCAUGUGCCUUAAACACCUAUUAUCAAUGAACCACUUUAAUCCUUUAGUGGUGUUCUUCAAGUAUACCUAUAUAUAAAAAUCAAGAAAUGAUAUUUGGUACCUUUUUAUUAUUUGAUCCGUAAUUGUUAGUACAAGAUUUAAAUAUCCACAUGCUAUUAGGAAUACUAAUUUCUUAUCCAAGUGGUUUCUUUCCCAACAAAUCUAGUGAAUUAUAAAUAAGACAUUAUUUAGGAUGUUUUCUAGAGAGAGAGAGUGUAGAAAAAUUUGUUAGGUUUUCUACAAUGGUUUUACUUUUUUUUACGAUUUGAGAUUUCAAUAAUAUUGUGAGUUGAUUAUUUUCUUCUCUCCUACACUUUUUUUGAACGUCUAUUUUAUCCCUUCAAUCCUAUAACCCUACACACAUUGGUUAUUAUUAAAACCCUAAAAUUUAGGUUCCACAGAUCUCAGAUGGUAGAGGAUUCCAAUGACUAGAGAAAACUAGGAGUUCUGUACGGAACGGAAUAUUUCAAUGAACAUCUUUUUUUAGGUGUUAAUGGAGUUUAUUAUAUGGCAAAUUACACUUUACCCUGUGAUUUAGUGUUUUUCUACAUAACCCCCCUAUAGUUUCAAAAGUUAUACAUAACUCCCUCAUGAUUUGGAUUAAAGUGUCAAAGUGACGGAAAUGAGUAUUCAUAACGGAGUCAUUUAAAAUGUCAAAAAUAUCCUUAUGUAAAAUUGAAAAUUAUUUGUUAACCAAAGGGGGUUAUGUGUAUAUUUUGAAAAUCAUAAGGGGGUUAUAUGAUAAAGUAUUAAACUAUAAGUGAGUUAUAUAGUAAACUAUAAAAUCAUACGGGGUUAGUGUAUCAUGUAUUUAUAAAGGUAACUUUGACGUUUUUAAAGAUUCUGUUACGAAUGAUAAUUUCCGUUACUUUGACACUUUAAUUUAAAUUGUGAGGAGGUUAUAUAUAAUUUUUGAAACUAUAGAGAGAUUAUGUGAAAAAUCGCUAAAUGAUAGGAGAGUAAAGUGUAAUUUGCCCUUUAUUAUAUAGUUAGUGUGUUUUGGUAACUCUUUAGUGAUUUGACAAUGCAUGUGUUGGGUUUAGUGGUCGUUUUGUCCUCUGCUACUUUCGGGUGAAUUCUUGUUUUUUCAAUAAUAUCGUGUUUUAUCAAACAACAUCGAAUCAACAAUAGCUAUAAAUAUCUUGACUGAUCAUGCCGACCGUACUACUAUCAUCUUUCUGUCUGUAUCAUAGAGAGUGUUUGGAUAGAAUAUUAUUUGAAAUGUUAUUGAAAAUAAUUAAUGUAACACUUUUUGUAAUAUAAUGUAUGUGAGAUAAAAAUAUAAUUAAAAAUAUAAAAAAUAGAUUGAGAAAUAUGUUUAUGAUACAAAUAAAAUAUUAUUUAACAAAAUUGAGUUAUCACGGCUCAAGUGGGGGCUAUUGCCCCUACUUAAGUUUUAAAAAAAAAAAACUCUAUAAACAAAUUUAGACACUCUCUAACUCAAAAUCGACAUUUCUGUCUUAUUAAAAUAGAUAAAUAGACAGGUAUAGUGGCCUUCUCCUCAUUUUCUUCUUAUCUUCUAGUAGCGACAUCCAUGGACCAGAUUGAAAAUAUAAUGCUGUUUUUAUGCGUUUUGCCGUUUACAUGAGCUUUGAUACCAAAAUGACAAAACACAUAGGCCCACCAUUGGCUCCUUUUCAAGUAUUCCUUAAAAACUUUCGAAUUAUCAUCGCUAAAUGAACAGGGCAAAGUUGGGAUAUUGAGCAGAUUUCCUUCUUUUUUUCUAACAUUUUCUUGACGAAAGCAGAUUUCCUUCUUCAAUGCUUUUUCUUUUUAGCUGAUAAGACGUUUAUGUUGAAAAAUUGCUAUUGCUACUGAUCGAGAUGCGGCGCGACAAAUAGGUUGGGAAGGAGGUAAUAAUAAUUAGUACGUGCUCCAAUGCAAACACAUGUGAGUAGACACGGAAAUAACUAUUUUAUUGAGUCUCAAAUAUUCAGCGAAUUUCUAGAAAUAAUACUAAAUUUAGAAAAUUUUCUCCACUUAGAGUUGCCGUAUUUUUCAAAUGUAGCAACAACAAAACAGUAUUUUUAUUUUGAAUUAUUUUUUGGUGUCACAAAUGCGGCGACAAUUAAAGAGUAUUUUUUUUGAAUUAUUUUUUGGUGUCAGAAUGACUAAAAUUUUUUAUUUUUUUAUACAUCUUCGCGGGCGACUGUGAAAAUGACCAUUUGGAUGCGGCGACACCAAGAUGUGAGAAGUCUUAACCGUCAAGUUUCUUUAUAUUAGAUCUAAAUUUUAUCAGAUUUGUUGUUGAAGCUGAGAUUUCUUAGAUCUAUCUCGUCGGAUCUCACUUUAACAUUAGGCUUAAAUCACUUCAUUAGCAUAUCUCGGAGGAAGCAAACGGUACAUUUGAAAGUAUUUUUGAGACUAUAAGUGCUUUAUUAUUCGAUAUUUUUCGAGUUCUGCAGUACAAUUAUCUAGUAUAUAUUUGAAAGUAUAUUUUGUUGGUUUUUCAAAACUGUAAUAUCUAGUAUUUGUUCUUCGAAUAUGUUGCCACUAGUACGGAUUUGAUAAAAUGAUGAUGAUUUUAUCCCCAAAAAAAAGACUAUAGAAUUAAGCCCGUACAAAUGCUUGGGCGGGGGGGGGGGGUUGUGUAGGCAGUGGGUAGUAAAAGGUUGUGGACAAAAUUGAAGAAAACAAAUUAGUAGGGCACAACGUGACAAAGUUUUUCAUAAAGUAUAAGACCAUCAACGAACAGGUAUUGUGAAGUGAAAUGAAAGAGACCUUGAAAACUUAUCCUCCUUAAAAAAAAAAAAAAAAAAAAAAAAUUAUCUUCACAAAAAUUUCAAGGUCAUCCAGCCUGCAACAUUCAUGUUUGCAUUGAAGAUUGUUCAUGUGUCAAUCACGAGUCUUUGUCUAUAUCUCCUUGUGCCAUGAGACUAUAUAGGGCCAGUUUGGAACCUGAGUUUUUUGGAAGUUUGUUUAAAAUUUUACUGUAGUGCACUGUAGAAAUUUUUGAAAAAUUUUUGUAAAAGUUUUUGCAAGGUGAAAAACUUUUUUUUCUUUCAUUUUCUCUUUCUAUUUCUAUUUCUAUUUCUUUCUUUCCUUUUUCUUUUCUUUCCUCCCUUCUUCUUCUUCUUCUUCUUUUUCCUUCCCCCUCCCCCUUCCCCGUUACCUCUGUCUCCCACCUCCAGCACCUCCGCCAGCACCACCUCUUUUUUUUUUUUUUUGCUUUUCUCCUCCCCCCCCUCCCUUUCCCUCUCCCUCGCUCUCUCCCGCCACCCCUAAACUUUUUCACCAUCCCUUUCCUCUCCCCUCUGCUCGCCACCCCCUCUACCCACCAUCCCUUUCCUCCCUCUCCCUUGCUACCCCUCUGCCCCCCACCCCCUAGGCCCGCCACCCCUCCCUCUCCCUCCCCCGCCAUCCUUCUCUGCCCACCAAUGUCACCGCCUGCAUCAUCUCCAUCCGGAAGCCCACGUGAGUUCUGCAGUUCCGACCAUUGUAGAGGUUCCAUCCGUGGGUGCCAGUGUUCCUUCCACUUUCUAUGUCUUCCUCUUCCAACGACAACAGCCGUGUGGUGCAGGGCGGAGCGUGGUGGAGGGGAUGGAAGUGCAAUUGCCGAAGUUCUGACUCGGAUUGCAGCGCCCAGGAAAUGGAGAAUCGCUCAACAAGCUUCUCGUUGCUCGCGCAAUGAUACUUACUCCGGCGAAUUGCUUGGUCGACUCCGGACAACUUUCUGUGCUUUGAAAGAAAAACCGGGAAGAGUUUUGUGUGCUUUUUGUGAAUUGAAAGGGAAAAAACCAGCUUGGACGACGUUGUCUUGUUAAAAUGUUUCAGAAAGGGACGAAAGUUUUGAGAAAAGUUUUUGGGGUUCCUGUAGCAUAAGUUGUUAAAAAACUAGUAUAAUACAAACUUGCUCAAAAACUAGGCUUCCAAACAGGCCCUAUCAUGUAGAUAUUGUAAAUUAAUAUGGUUCUUUUUCUUUUUUCAGUAAUCUAUCCCUAUCAAAAACUUAGAAUGUCCAUUCUCUAAUUUAUAAAAUUAUAAAACUAUAUACUAUUUACUUUUCUCAUAUUGUACUUUACCACCACGCACCAUCAAUUAGAGUAAUCCUCAGAUUUAUUGGACAUUGAUUGUUAAGUUGAGCAUGAUAUCAACUAUUUUUACUAUAUUUGUAUUAUAUUUUGUAUUUUAAAUUUUAUAUAGUUGUUUACUUUAACUCUUUUGUACGAAUAUUUGUUAAGAAAAAAAUUUCAAAGACAAAAAAAAAAAAAGCUGAUGCAAGCAAAAGUAAACAACCAGACAUUGCAUAUCCUUCAAUUUGAUUUAUUUUAGCGUAUUUGACCAAAAUUAUUACAAAGGGCUUAAUCCAACCAAAUGUCUCGAGUAGCUCACUAACUAGUUUUCUUGAUUUAAUGCACUUAGUCACACCACGUCUCACUCUCAUUAUAAUUAACAAUGAGAAGGGAUCCUCUUGAAAACAUCAGAUGCAGAAGAAAGCCACUUGUUAUAGACCCAUACCUUGGUCCGUAUCCAACGUCAAAUAUAUUUGUUUGGAUAGUAAACUUAUUCCAAAUAAUAUUUCGCUUGCAUCAUAAACACAUUUUUCAACCCAUCUUUUUAUAUUUCCAAUCACCUUUUUAUUUCGCAUACAUCACGUCACAAAAAGUACUACAGUAAUUAUUCCAAAUAAUAUUUCAAAUAAUACUCUAUCCAAGCAAGAACUAGGAACAAUCCAUAUGUUUACGAAAGCAGUUCUAGCAAUUGGUCAGAUCUAAUGGCCUGUAACUCACAUCGUAAUAUUUUAUAUUUUAUAAUUCUGUUAAAUUUAAUGAUUUUUCAAAUUAGAUAUAUCUUUCAUAUGUUUUAUAUAUUUUCUGCCAUUACUGGUCUUUUUUCGUCAAACAAAUCGUGAUAGAUGAUUUUCAAUUAGUUUAUUAAUAAUAUUGACUCCUAUUUUAUCAAAAAAAAAAAAAAAGAACUAGGAACAAUCGAAACAAUCACUAGGCACAGGCACAUACCAGAAGGAUGUUGCUUGAGCUUAUCAAUAUGAACCCACGCAAUCAGCAGACUGCCUUUUGCCGAUGCCGCACUAAGGCUUCUUAAGUUUAUUUUAUCAACUCAACAAUCCAAUAUCCAAUGACUUUGGAAAAACUGUGUGGAAAUUUAUCCUCAAACGAGAUCAAGAUCUAUGAAGUUUCACGAAACCGUGCUCAUAGGACUAGGGUCUUGUUUGGUAGAUAAGUUUUUUGUCAAAUUUAUCUGUUACAAGUUUUUUAAAAACUUUAACUACAAUAAUCUCAAAAAACUUCUCAAAGUUUUUAAACUAUACACAUUAAAAUAUUAAAAAAAACACACUUUAAAAUUUUUUUUAAAAACUUCUACAGUAAGUUAUAGUAAAAUUUUAAACAAACACCCAAAAAAUUCACUUGCCAAACGUUGUCAUUACACUCUUAUAUGUCUUCUCAUCUUUAAUUACUGAUGUCACAGUCACUAUCUUAGGAUGCCAUUCUAUGAAACACGUAGUUUAAGCAUUUUUGCCAACAUGCCAUGACCAUAAGGCAGUUUCAUUUUUUCCUUUAAUCAAGCUUGAUAAUGAGUCAAUACAAAAUUCUCAUCCGAAUUCAGUCUCCCUCACGUAAAAAGAUUAUAUGAUUACAAAACUGCAUACAAAUGACCCAAAAAAAAAAAUUUAAGAGGGACUGAUUCAAGAAGUCUAAGAAAUAAAAUAUCCAUACAUCCAUACCUUGGGCUCUUUUUAAAAAUUUUUUUUUAUUAUGCUGUUUUGGUUUAUCCUCUUUUGGGGGUUUCAAAAUUAAAUUUGGGGAGAUAAGGUUGAUGAUGUGAUGAAAUCUGACGAAAAAAUGGUUGUUCGAAGGACGGUAAAAUUAAUUGAAGAGCGGAUGAAUUGAUACUGUAGCUGCAGAAGGUAAAAUUUAAUUACCUCAAUUUGUUCCUUAUUACUCAUUUGCAUGUCUCUCACUUUAGGAUAACCUGCCAUUAUUUGGCCUCUGUGGAUUUGAUGAUCAUCAUUUUAGGAUUUGAUGAUCUCAUUUUAGUUCUGUACGGAAUGGAAUAUUUCAAUGAACAUAUUUUCUUAGGUGUUAAUGGAGUUUAUUAUAUAGUCAGUUUUGGAAACUCUUUAGUGAUUUGACAAUGCAUGUGUAUGGUUAGUUGUCGUUUUAUCAAUAAUAUCGUGUUUUUUCAAUAACAUCGAAUCGAUAAUAGCUAUAAAUAUCUUGACUGAUCAUGCCGACUGUACUAUUCUCAUUUUUCUUAUCAUAUGGAGUGUUUGGAUAGAAUAUUAUUUGAAAUAUUAUUUAAAAUAAUUAAUGUAGUAUUUUUUUAUAAUGUGAUAUAUAUGAAAUAAAAAAGUGAUUAAAAAUAUUAAAAAAUGAAUUGAAAAAUGUGUUUAUUUCUUUCAAAAAAAUUAUGUUUAUGAUACAAGCGAAAUAUUAUUUGAUAAAAUUGAGCUAUCAUGGCUGAGGUGGAGGCUAUUGCCCCUGCUUCAUUUUUUUUUAAAAAAAAACUCUAUAUAUUAUGUAUAUCAAGUAUUUUUGGUCCCACCAAAAAUGAUACAUUUGCGGUCGAUAUUAAUUGGGAGUAAAAGUGCAAACAAAUUUAGAGACUCUCUAACUCAAAAUCGACAUUUCUGGCCUUAUUAAAAUAGAUAAAUAGACUGAUAGAGUAGCCUUCUCCUUCUUUUCUCCUUAUUUUCUAUUCCCUCUGUCCCAUUCAUUUGGUUAUACUUUUCAUUUUGAAAUGUCCCAAAAUAAUUGUCAUGUUAGAAAAGUCAAAUCAACUUUUACACUCUCUUUUCAAUAUAAUCCUUUUUUUUAAUCAUACAUUCAAAUUUAAAAUUUGAAUUUGAGGGGGUAAAAUUGGAAAGAAAAGCACAAACAUCACAAUUAAACCACUAUUCUUAAAAAGUUGGAUUCCCCAAACAUAACCAAAUGAAUGGGACGGAGGGAGUAAUAGCGACAUCUACGGACUGGAUUGAAAAUAUAAUGCUGUUUUUAUUUUCUAUGUCACAAAAUGAUUGUCACUUGCUAAUAUUGACAAACCAUUUUUAUUCAAUUUUCGUCUUUCAACCAACCAUUAAGGUGAAAGAGGAAAGUGUAGAUUAAAGCUAUAAUUAUUGGUUUACAAAGUUGAAAAGUAAGUGGAAAAAUGACAAAACACAUAGGCCCACCAUUGGCUCCUUUUCAAGGAUUCCUAAAAAACUUUUGAAUUGUCAUCACUAAAUGAACAGGGCAAAGUUGGGAUAUUUUUCAGAUUUCCUUCUUCAAUGAUUUUUCUUUUUAGCUGAUAAGACUUUUAUGUUGACAAAUUGCUAUUACUACUGAUCGACAUGCGACGCGACUAAUAAAUUGGGAAGGAAGUAAUAAUAAUUAGUACGUACCAAAUGCAAACACUUGUGAGUAGACACGAAAAUUACUAUUUUAGUGUGUUUUAAAUAUUCGGCGAAUUUCUAGAAAUAAUGCUAAAUUUAGAAAAUAUCCCAUUUAUGGUAUUUCAUGAGAUUGUUUUCUUUACUUAGAGUCAUCUUUGACAAUAAAAUAGUAUUUUUAUUUUGAAUUAUUUUUUGGUGUCAGAAUGACUAAAAGUUUUAAUUUUUUUAUACAUCUUUGCGGGUGACUGUGAAAAUGACCAUUAGCCGCAUCCAAAAAGUGGAUGCGGCGACGCAAGAUGUCAGAAAUCUUAACCGUCAAGUUUUCUUAUUAUUUAUUUGGGAGCAAAUUAUCCCAGUGGCCACUAAACUUUUGCCAUCGUCGAGUUUUGGUCACUCAACUAUUAAAAGGCUGGUUUUGACCAUCAAACUGUAUAAAAGGUAGACUCGAACCCAUUCUGUUAGAUUUAGUCGUUAACUUCGCAGAGGUGUCCGUUUGCGCGAUUUCCAAUACAAAAGGUAGGGUCAAUUUAGAAAGUCGAAAAUAGAUCUUCUUGUUCUUCUUGUAUAAAGCUAAUAAAGAUUACUUACCCGAGAGAAACUACAAGAGAAGGAAAUGGAAGAAGCCCAACUUGGAUUAGAGGAAGCAGGACCAAGAUCAACGCCACCAAGAGCCGGGCCAGCAAGAUCCAUGCCACCUACAUCGUUGACACCCAUUUUGCCUACUUGUGUUUGUGGGAUGAAGACAGUAAUGAUAACUUCAUGGACUGUACAAAAUCCGGGAAGAAGAUUUGCCAAAUGCGCAUUGGGGGAGGUUUGUAACAUUUUUUUAGAUACUUAAUUUAUUAUUGUGUAAGAAAUAUAAUGAAUUUGUUUUUUUUUUAAGGAUGGCUGUGGCUAUUGGGGUUGGAUAGAUGAUGAAAUGUGCGCUCGAUCUACAAUGAUUAUACCGGGUCUACUCAGAAAGAUCAAUGGAAUGGAGGAAAAAAUGGUUGAAUUUGAAAAAGCUGCAAGAAAGUAGGAAGCAAAAGCUGUGAAAUUGGAGGGUAAAAUGAAGCCACUUCAAAUUAAAAUUGCCAAGUACAAAUCAGCCAAUAAGCGACUCAUUCGAUGCGCAGUGUUGCCUUGGCUAAUAGUUGUCUUAGCAAUGUUAGUUAUGAGAAUAGGUAAUUCUGGUGGCAUGCUACAAAUUUGUGGCAUCGUUGAAAAUCCUUGAAGAAUAGCUACUCUGUUGUAAUGGUAGCAUAUUGAAAGGGAAAGGGCAAAUGGCUUUAUAAAGCCCCUUUUGUACUCCUCUGUAUAAACAUUUUGAUGUAUAAAAGUUGUAUUGUUCACAUGAAUAAAUAGUUAUUAUUUGGUGUCAAAAAAGGUUUGAAACAACACAUUUCAGUUCUAUUAAUUUCAUCAAUAAAUGACAAAGACAUAAGAACUAAACAAAAGUGCUGCAUUAACAUAGAACAAUCUGUGUAGAUUGGACAAAAUAAAUUGUUUGUACAUAUGGACCAUGUUCGUAAUAGGUCAGUAUAUCAAAUCCAAAACAAACUUCAUACAAAAAGACAAAAUGUAGUUGAAUUAUGUCCCAAUCUAGCUAUAGCUUUCUUCCUCUUCAAUUUGAUCCUCUUUUGACUCUUGGUUGUCCUCUGGUAGUUGUUGCUGAAGUUCCUCCUCUUCUAAUACCAGUUCUACUCCAUUUUCCUCUCCAAUUUCCAACAGUGAAAGGAGGUUCUUUACUUAAAUAUGCAUAAUUGACAUUGAUCCGCCCCUUUUCUGAAUCUGUUAACUUUCGUUUUCCUGCUUUCCUUUGUUGAUGAGCCCCUUGGCUCUGAGACUGUUGUUGGUUUUGUACAACUUCUUCCUGCUGUCGAUGCUGUGCAUGUUCACUUUCCUCAACAGCAGAUUGUGAUUGCUGUUCUUGUUGGUUCUGCUGAUACUCUUGAUCCUGCUGCUGCUGUUGAUUCUGUUGCUAUUGCUGAUCCUGCUGCUGUUGCUGCUGCUGAUGUUGAUUUUGUUGCUGCUGCUGCUGAUUUUGCUGCUGCUGAUAUUGAUCCUGCUGCUGGUGUUGCUGGUGCUGUUGUUGGGUCUGCUGCUGCCUCUGGUGCUGCUGUUGGGCCUGAUGAUGCUGCAUCUGAUGCUGGUGUUGGGUCUGAUGUUGCCUCUGGUGCUAGUGUUGGGUCUGAUGUUGCCUCUGGUGCUGGUGUUGGGUCUGUUCAUGCUGACUCUGGUGCUGGUGUUGGUUCUGCUGUUGCUGCUGCAUAUUCUUAGAACCACGCUGCUGCUGUUGGUUCUGCUCCUGCUCCUCGCUAUCCUGAUUCUGCUGUUGUUGAUUGUCUUGUUGCUGCACCUUGCAACCAGCUGCAUUAUGGCCGGCAACACCACAUUUUCUGCAAUGGUUGACUAUUCUUCUCCGCAACCUGUUUCCAGUCUUUUGAGUUUCAGUAGGAUCUCUUCUCCUGGCCUUCUUAGGUCUGCCAGGUUGCACUAUCCUUUCUGGUGGAUCAAGAUCUACCCCAUCAGCUUCAGGCCACAUUACUUGUCCAUUGAUAGGAUACAAAACAUUUUUGUAAAUUUUUUGAAACAGAUCUCUGUUGUAGCAGUCAUACACCUCUUUAUAGGGGUCGCCAUUAUUUCUGUGAAUUGCUGCAAUAGCAUGACAGCAAGGAAUACUUGAUAGAUCCCACAGUUUGCAUGUGCAGGAUUUUUUCUUUAAAUAAACAGCAAACUGGGCCCCCCUUGGUCCCCUAACCUGGUAUCCAUCCACAGCAUUCCAAAUGGUCCUCCAUUGUCUUGAUUCUAUCACCCUAUCAUCAAUUAUUUUUUUAAUUAGUGGGCCAAUGGACAAUUCAAAUUUCUCCAUUGCAGUUGUCCUUCUCUGUAUCCUCUCCAUCAGAAAUAUCCUAAUGGACUCUAACAUUGUGAUAAUUGACUGCUGCCUAGCUUCAAGUAUAUGACCAUUAAAACUUUCACACAAAUUAUUAACCAACAUAUCGCAUCGAGUAUGUUCUUAAAAAAAAGUCUUACACCAAUGACUGGGAUGUGGUGCUUUCUUCACCCAUUCAUAUGCUUCCUUGUCAAAUUUUUCCAGAUCUGCUGCUGCUUUCUUGAAUAGUCCCUCAGUAGUACUUGCUGCAAUGUUCCACAGUUUUGUCUUCAGGGCAAGUCCACGAUGUUUCUUCUUGAAGUUGUUAUAUAGGUACUGCACACAGUAUCUGUGCUCACUGUUUGGUAGUACCUCAGAUAAUGCUCGGUCAAGACCCUAUAAAUUAUUACAAACAAAAGGCAUUAGUAAAUUGAAACAGAUCCGUGUACAGUGCAUAUACAAAGGGAAGGAGUUAAUACCUUCUGCUGGUCAGAAACAAAGGUGUAGCUGUACCCAUUUUCAAUCUGCAAGUCAUUCUUCAGCAGCUCAAAAAACCAUUUCCACUGUUCAGUUGCUUCCCUCUCAACCACUGCCCAAGCAAUGGGCCACCAUCCAUUGUUGGGAUCUACUCCAAUAGCAGUCAACAGAUGUCCCCGAUAUUCAGCCUUUAUGUGGCAUCCAUCAACCCCAAUAAUGGGCCUACAACCGUCAAGAAAGCCUUGUUUUAAUGGUCCCAAACAGCAAUAAAGUCUCAUGAAUUUUGGGUUGCAUCCAGGUUGUCUGAAGGGAGUAAACAUAACUUCCAUUGUGGUAUUUGGGUGUGUCCUCUUAAUUUCUGCACAAUAUCUCCAUAUGUCCUUAUAUUGCUACUCUGCAUUCCCUUGAAUCUCCUUUUUAGCAAUUGUCCUUGCAUUGUAUGCCACCCAUUUUGAAAUUUUCGCUUUGAAGUCCUCAUCAACUAUUUGUUUUAAUAAUCUUGGAGGCAUUUCAACAUUACAUCUAAAUCUCUCCAUGUACUUGUUUGCAAGCCACUUAGCAGAAAUAUUCUUGUUCUUCCAUACAUGACUGCAGUUUGUGUGCUCAUUAUUCAUGCUCUUGACAACCAAAUCAGCUAUUCCAAGUUCCCUCUCAACUGAAGCAUAAACAAACCAUUGGCAAGGAGGUUUGCAUUUUGCUCUAAACCUUUUUUUUCAUUUGUGUAUGGCUUUACUGGUUUUCCUUUCAUGAUGGAAUAUGUUCUAACAGCUAAUCUUAGCUGUUCAGCUGACUCAAACUUCAUUCCUAUGUGAAACUCAAAAUUAGGGUCUUUUAGAUCUCUCUCCGGAUUGAAAUCAACAUACCUAUUCCUCCAGUCAUCAUCAUUCUCUUCAUCUGAGGAGCCAGCAUCACUAUGCAACUCAGUCACCACUGUGUCUUUAUUUAAUGCAUGGACAUCAUCUAAAUGAGGAGCUGCCUCUUCUCCUGAUGCUCUAUUGUUGUUUCUUCUCCUUCUAACUUGCUUCUUCCUCCGCGACUGUUGGUUUCCAGUUCCCACAUCCGUGGAUUGUUCUUCAUUUGUCUCAGGCUGCUGCUGAUGUUCAAAUUCAGUUUCAAGUCCUGAUUGUUGUGACCAUGGAUCCAUCCCAGCUGUUUGUUGUUGUCUGCCUAGCUCAUCUACAACUGAUUCUUGCUGUUGUGCAGCAUUAUUACAAUCAUCAUUAGAAUUGGGAUGUUGUGAAGAUCUAGGUUGCUCUGUAUUUGAAGAAUCCACACCAGAUUUUAGCCCCUCAACAAUCAAUUCUUCUAACAUUUCUUCAUCCCUACAGAAAUCCCUAUCAGCACUAAAGCGAUCACAGUCUCCAUCCGAAUCAGUAUCAGUCUCCACUUGGCCAUCUAUAUUUCCUCUAUCAUUUGCAUCCCCAUCAUCCCCAUUAUUCAAGGCAUUCUCUUUAGAAGAGUUCCCAACAUCUAUCUUGCCAAUUGAUCUUGUAAAUGGCACUAGUUCAAAUCCAGGUUCCCUAAUAACAUUUCCAUUUUCGUCAAGUUCCUCGAUGGUGACUGCGGCUUUUUUACUCAACUGUAGAUCAGAAGGAAGGGACUUUGUGGCCAUCAUCUUGAUUUCAUUCUUUGACUGGUGGUCACAGUACACCUCCAUGAUUUUAUGCUUAUAAGCCUAAUUGCAAAAACUGAUAAUGGCUUUAUCAGUAGAUAAUUCCUUCAACCCAUUUCGAAAAUCUUUUCCAGGCUCAACAUAGUAAUACACCAUACAUCCAUAAUGCCCUAAUUUAUCCACCAUGUAGUUUAUUUCAUGCACAGACAUUGUUUCCGCAUCACAUAAAUCAACAUAAUCUACAUGCCCAUCAAUGUAUCUGUAAUUUUGCCAAUUGAAUUUACCCCCAUGAUACAUUCGUAUGGUGAACAGAGAAGAACCUGGCACUGCAUGACAUGCGAUUAGUUAAAAAAAUUAAAAUUUUAGUCAAAACUAGUAAACCCAAAUUCAAUGAAUGAAUUAUUUAUUAACCCUUUUUUCCAGCAUUAAGAAUACUUUAAUCAGUGUACUUUGAAAUCUCUAUGCUUUAUUGCAAAAAGCCAAAACAACGAUAAAAUGUAGCCCAUACAUACAUGAAACACACAAUCUAUUCUGGGAUGUGGAUAACUAAACAAACUUAGGGAUUUUAAAACUUUACCGUAUGCAUCAGAUGGAUCAAAAUGCUGGCCCCUUGGUCUAAUCACCCACUUGGGCCACUCCAUCGUUCCACGAAAUGAAGAUCUUGUUUGUCAACCCGUUCUGCUGUCGCUCAAUCCCCCAAAAUUCUUCGUUGUUGCGUUUUUCUUUAAUUGUCAAUUGUUUGAUGUUUGGGUUUAGGCAAGGAAGAAGAAGAACAGAUGCAUGGGAGAGGAAGAAGAGGUGCAAGUGAUAUUUUCGACUUCCUAAAUUGACCCUACCUUUUGUAUUGGAAAUCGCGCGGACAGACACCUCUGCAAAGUUAACGACUAAAUUUAACAGAAUGGACUCGAGUCUACCUUUAAUACAGUUUGAUGGUCAAAACCAGCCUUUUAAUAGUUGAGUGACCAAAACUCGACGAUGGCAAAAGUUUAGUGGCCACUGGGAUAAUUUGCUCUUUAUUUGGUUCAUGGAUAUGUGAUCGGUAUUUGCCAAAUUUGUCAAACACAUGCCCAACUUUCUAUAGGGAAAUUUAGGAAUAAUUUUAGAAGCUUCCCCUAAAGUUUCUAAUAAUUUUACUAUCCUUUCCUAAAAUUUUAAAAAUAUUAUUAACCUCUUUUAAAACUAAUUUUCUUGUGACAAAUUACUAGGACCGUCAAUGACGCCGAACCAACUAGAGCUCAACCUAUUUGGCCCCAAAAAAGAUCCAUGAGUCUAAAGUAUAAUUGAAUCGGGCAAAGUUUUGAUCUAAAUAUUAGAUCCGGACAAAAUGUAAGUCAAAUUUGAGUCAUUCUAGGUUCAUGCCUGAUUAAAACUACACCCAUGUAUGAGUAUAAUUAUAUAUGUAAAAUAUAUAUGAUAAUAUAUAUAAUUUAUAAUUAUUUAUACUACAUAUACUACAUAUAAAUGCAGAGGAGGGUGUUUGGGGUAAACAAAAAUCUGUCACUUUAUAUACUUCAUGAACUACCCUUGAUGAUGAAGAAACUUUUGGUAUAAACAAAAAUUUAUCUUUCUUUGAUAGCUACCCACUACCAAUAUGAUUUUUACCAAAUAAUAUGUAUUUUUUCAUAUUCUAUUUUUCAACUUAUUUAGUAACUCUUAAUUUUAAUUAGCAACUACCAAUUAUGGUUCUGAAUAACUAUUAAAUAACUACUUUUUAUAACUUUUAUUAUUUUAAAAUUUUCACAUAUGUAUUUUCAAAAUAUAAAAUCAAUUUUCUUAAAAAUUAUUUUAAUAAAUAUACUCAAUAUAUUUUACAAAUACUUUUUCUAUUAGUUGCACACACAUUAGUAUGUGUCUUAAAUACUAGUACAUAUUGCGACAUAAAAUGUUAAUAAUUUAUAUGUAAAUUUGCAUUAAUUCAUAAUUAUAAAGUAUAUAUUAUAUAUAAUUAUGUAUUUAAUUAUAAGUUUGGGCCAAACCCGAUUUGAUUCUGAAACUCAUAUAAUAGUGUGAGUUGAGAUUAAACCUUUUUAAUAUAAACAAGAAUCCCAAAAGCUUGAAACCUGAAAAUUCAUAUAAUUUGUGAACUAAGUUUGGGCUUGCUAAAGUCCGAUUGACACCACUACAAAUUAUCCCAAUUCGUAAAAAAAUUAAUAACAAAAAAAUGUGCAUUCAUUUUUUUUGUUAUUAUUGGUUUGAAAUUAAUACUAAUAAAAAGCUAUUAUUCGUUUGAAAAGCUAUUCUUUUUUUUUUUAUUAUUCUUCUGUCCUGGAACUUGGAUAUUUGAGUAUAGUAACAUGUGUAUACUGGGGGAAGACCCUUCUGCUAUUUGUGGCAGCUGUUUCGGAAGAUGUAUCCCGAUGAUAAUUCUUCCCGAAGAAAAUGGCAUAGUGGAAUGAGGCCGUAGAGAAUUGUGCAUCGCCACAUCCGCUUUUGGAUGGGCAAAUGGUAAUUUUCACAAAGAUGCAUAUAAAAGAAUAAAAUAUCUUUAGUCAUUCUGACACCAGAAAAAAAAAUUUUCAAAACAAAAAUACUAUUUCGCCCAAAUGCGGCGAUUCUAAGUGCAGAAAACAAUCUCAUCGAACACUUUAAAUGAGAUAUUUUCUAAAUUUAGGAUUAUUUGUAGAAAUUUGUCCAAAUAUCCAUACAAAUUAAACUUGACUCUAACUCUAUGUCCUAAGCUCUAACAAUAUUUGAACUCUUAAAAGUUUUUGGUCCAAGGCUGCACUGCCAUGCUUGCGUCCAAGGCUGCACUGCCAUGCUUGCAUCAACAAAAUAUAUGUUUGGAAGCUCCAAAGUACCGUUUUGUAAAUUGAGUUCAUUGCAUUUAUCUCCCUAGAGGUUUAUCUAAAUCACAGCAAUAAAUCCAUAGUUUUUUUUAAGGGUAAAUAACCUUUUAUCUCUCUAUGAUUUGGUGCUUUACCACAUGACUCUCUUAUAGUUUAAAAAUCUAUAUAUACCACAUGACCUCCAUAUAGUUGAAAAACCUAUAUAUAAUCCUUUCGUGAUUUGGGUUAAAGUGAUACCAUUAGUUUUUCCAUUAAAACUAAUGGUCAAUAGUAAAAAGUCAAAAUCAAACUAAUAAAUUGACAAAUUCACUCUUUCACUACUUUUUUCGUUUUCUUUCUUUUUUUUUUUGUGGAAGCGAAGAGAUGAUUUGGAAACAUAUACUUUGGCCUAUAAAACCUUAAUUUUCUCCAAUUACAAAAGAGAUGAGAGGGAAAUAAAAAUAAAUGAAUAAGAAACAAAAAAGAUGGAAGGGAAAUAUAAAACAAAUAAAUAAGAAAGAAAAAAUACCAAAUCUUUUUUAUUACAAAUAUCAUUAUAGAUUUUUAAACCAAAUCUUUAAUGGUAUUUUCUAGUUCUUAUUUAUCUAUUUUGUAUUUCAAUUUCUUCCUUUUUAUGUUUGGAGGGGAAUAAAAAGAAGUAAUGAAAGGGUAAAUUUGUUAAGUUAUUAGUUUGAUUUUGACUUUUACUAUUAACCAUUUGUUUUAAUGGAAAAACAAACAAUUACAUAUUAACUCAAAUCAUGAGAGGGUUAUAUAUAGGUUUUUAAAUCAUAUGGGGGUUAUGUGGUAAAGUACAAAGGAUAAAAGUUAAUUUAUCCUUUUUCCAAAUCAGCCCAACAUUUUAAAUAGCCAAACAUUUGCCACUGCUCAAUUGCAUCAUUUGCAACAGAAGUUUUUGAAAUUAUCAAAAUACUGAUUUUCUAUCAUCCUUCUUCCAGCCAUUCUUUCAUCUUUCUAUAGAUUAAAGUUAGUGUAACCAAAACUCUAGUCAUAUGACAUCACUAAUAAUAGUAUAUUUCAUUGAGUGUAGUUUCUUGAACCUCCACUAUUAUAUUUUUUACAUUCCAAACUCUUUUCUAUUUCAACGUGCAAAUAAUCAAACUUCGUUUUCCAAAAAACAAAAGUAACUAUCAAUACUGAAUUCAAAUAUAAACAUAAAAUUUUAGGAUUUUUAUACAAAGACACACAUAUGAAAGUUAGAAGUAAAUAUCAAACAAAGACACUUUUCUUGGUUUAAGGAUAGGAAUUUAAUGUCAUGUUUUCUUAAAUUUAUUAUUACAUUUUUAAAAAUUUAAUGCUUUGUUAUGGAUAAAAAUCCGUAAAGUUUAGCUCAAUUUUAUUGUUCCUUACGAAAUUAGAUAUUUAAAUAAAAUAGAUAAUUUGUUGUAUGGAAACAAUGAAUUGGACCAGUGUGGUAGCGACUGAAAUAAGCCAUAUGCAGUUGAAAAAGAAAUUGUUUAUUUUCUUUUAAUCCAUAUUUAUUUUUUUGGAUAUAUUAAGGAGUUUUUUAAGAGUGGCUAUUCAAAGGGUUAAAACACAUUUUGGUCAAAUCUUAGACUCCUUUUUAUUUAGACAAACAUCAAGGGAGAUAAAUGCAGUUUCGCAGAGGGUAGUUUUGUCAUUUCACUACUUCUAAUUGGGUUUAGACACUGACUCAUAAGGGAUAAUUCGAAUUUAGUGAAACCGCAGAGUUUACUCAAUAAUACGGCCAAACCUUAGCGGAAGUACAUGCAUUAACCCUUUUUUAUUUAAAAAAAAAAGAGAUAGAGAGAAUUUUUAUUAAUCAGAUUGCUGAAAAUCGUUCAACAUUGGUUUCUUGACAAAAGCAAGAUGGCGGUAUAUUCUAUAAGGAAUCCACGAAAGCUGAAGAAUUUAGCUAUAGAAUUCAACAAAGCUACAGGAUUUUGGCAUAACAAGUCAAUUCAGGAGCUAUUGUUUUUGCCUCCAUUGUAUCCGAUUUACAUCCACAUCUGUAAUUCUAUAUAGUAUCAGACAAAACCUUAGGAAUAUCUUCUACUACUGGCCCCAUUGUAGAAAAAUCAUCAUCUUCACUAUUCAGCAAUUAAAUAACCGAUAAAGAGUCUCCUUCAAGUGUAAUAUUCGGAGUGAACAGAUUUUAUUGCUGAAUUAAUUGCCUCCUUUGUAGCAAUGGCUUCUUUCCUUCUUCGAUUCAACUGUCCCUUGGGAUAUCGUAGAGUUUAAUGCACCCUCAAAAUCAACAUUAAAUUGAUCCAUCGUACACUACCCCGCAAGAGGAACCUAGAGGUUCCACAUUGGCUUCUUUCAAAGCUACUAGGGAAUUAAUCACAAAGCGAACCAUUGAUAAAGGUUCUCCAUGCUUGCCAUCAAACAAAACCAAGUUCUGAUUGUUCCAAAUCUCAUCACAAAGAGUAGCAAACAGCUCCGAAUCCUCACUUGAAAAGAACUCACAAAAUUUCUGUAAUCCAAAGAUGAACACCAACUGAAUAGGUAUUUUCAUCAAUAUGACACCUUAAGUUUCAAACAAAUAGUGAUAUUAAAGGUUUUAGGAUUUAAAAAGCAAGGAAAUAGAAGGAUAAAAUGAGAUGUGAAUUAUAUAGACAAGUUACCUGUCAAACUAGGAAUUGUAAUUUUAAAAAAAAAACUACUUGAAAAAGCUAAUUAUUUAUUUUUCUUAUUCUUUUUCAUUUAAAAUGUGGGGUUUGUAUGAAAUUUUUGUGGCUCAAGUACUAUUACCACAUUUGAAUUGUAUUCAAUUGAUAAUAGUAAACAAAAUUAAUAUUCAAAUGUAAAGGACUAAAGUGAUAAAGUCACGAGUUAAAGGUCUAAAUAGAUAUUUUGAUAAAAGUUUGAGGACUUCUAAUAUACUGUAACUUAUCUGAAUGUAUAUCACUGGGAUUAGAGUUCUGUUUGCAUGUCAACAAAACAUUUUUUCAAAAUGAAAAUUAUGUGAGGCCUCUACAGUAGAAAAUCAAGCAAUUAAGAAUACUUACGUUACUACUUUGUAUCAUCUAUUUUUCGCCCCUUGAAUAAAGUUCUUUGCAUUCUUCUUGUUAUUGAAGAAGAUGAAACUAGUUAUCUAAAUCGAAAAAUAAAUUUUGGCUUCAAAUUUAAGGUACCAGUUAAACAUAGCAUAGAUUUUGUCAAAGAGUAACAUUAUACAAUAUCGUUAAAUUCAAACUGGAUAAAACUCGGUUAAACUACUAGGAUAGGGGUCAACUGAUCGGAUCAGUCAGAUGGUUCUGAAAAAAUCCACUGAAGUGAGUAUGAUAUUUUAAUUAUUUUAUAUUUUUAUAAGUUUCAAAAAUAUUAAAAUUAAGUUCUUAGUUAUAUUCGGCCAACCAUAAAAAUGUUACAAAAAAUUUAGGCUUGCAAUCAAAUAUACACCUAAAAAUUAUAUAUAAAAAUAUGAAUUCGUGUCUAAAUUAUGUACUUAAAAACUAAAUUAAAACAAAUCAUUCCCAAUUCGAGAUCUUUUUGCUAGGAAUAUGACUUUAUAAUGCAAGUUAGAAUCACUAAUGAUAAAUUGAUAAGAUGAUAUGGAUGAAAACCUCUUGAUUUAGAGAUCAUUGAGGGAAGCUAGUGAUUUUGAUGUUUACAUUAAAUGAGUGACAUUUUCUUAUUUCUAUUAAUAAAUGAAAGUUUUAUACUUUAGCUAACUCAAAUUAUGUUUCGGGAGAACAAGAAAGAAAAGUUUGAGAAUCGGGUCACUAAUUUGGCUUAUUUUUAAUGAUUUUGAUUGAUUUUUUAUCAAAGUAAUUUUAUGCUACAAACUACUUUCGAAAAAAGGUCGGUUCAUAUUCAGACAACAUUGACAUUAUAUGGAUAAAGCAUUUGUGAACAAACUUAUACCAAGACUAGUUGUUAGUUCAAGAGAGUUGGGACAGAUAAAUUUGUGCAAAAAUUAAUUAUCAAAGGGUAAUUACCAUUUCAACUUUUAUAAAAAAUGUCCAUGUUUAAGGAACAAUUGAAGGCACGUCAGUCAUCCAAUUAGUCUAAAGCUAAUAAUUAUAGAACAAACUACAUUGGCAUCAUAUUCUUGACGGGAAAGAACCUCAAGGGCUAUCUAAGCUGGGGUUUUGAUCGUAGAGCUGAGUCUUAAGUGCAACAUCAAAGAUUAUAUUUAACACUCAAUGAAAUAACCUCAUCGUAUUUUCCAAGUUUGAGAAAAAAGAAAUCAAUAAAUUUUGUUAGGGCAAGCAAUAGAAAUUAAAAAAUAGAUUUAAUUAGCUUUUCUAAGUUAUUUAUUAUUCAAUUCUCUAGCAUACAUAUAUUGUAAUUUCGAUAUAACUACUGUAUCUCAUUUCAUCUUGAAACUUUUAAUACCACUAUUUAAAUUUUAAGAAACCAUCUUAGUUGAAACUUCAACAUUAUGAUCAACAAUGCCAAGUCAAAACUUCGCCAUUAUGAUCGAGUCAUAAUUAAUGAUCAACAAUGCCAAGUUACAGCAAUUUGAUUUUGAACUUCGCCAUCCUGAUUUUUUGUCAAUUAUCCUAAAUUUGCACAAAAUCCGAAGCAUCGAGGACCACAUUUGCAAAAGUCAAAAGUUUAGGGACUACAUAAUUCAUAAAAUGGAUCGAUUAUAGCGUAAUUUCCAGCAACUUGGGGGUCUUUUGUUUUGCUGGCUGUAGUCCAUUGGGUGCACGUGAACUUCGUGGGAAAUUGGUGGCGUUCAAUUAUUUAACCUUUGCAAGUUGGUGAGUGGUCUGGCAGCUCUUUUGAUUUUUUUUUUUUUUUUGCUGUAGAUAGGAUUCGAAUAUCCAACCUGCAGUUCAAAAAAAGGGACUUUAGUCCCUAUUUGAUAGCCACUACCUUUCCAAGUUGGCAAGCUGUCUUGUUUACAUAAAGGUUGGGAUUUUACUGUGGAAUAUUUGAAUAUCGAACGAUAACAGUACAAUACUAAAAAAAAAUUUACUGCUAUUGUCUAUUGUGGAUAAUUCAAGCAACUAUUUUAGAAAAUGACUCUCAUAAUUAUGGUCAAGCCAAGCCAAUCCAACAGUGCUCCCAAGCUCGAAAAUACAGCAAAAGGUAAAAUGAUUUGAAACCGGAUCGACAAGUGAAUUGGACGAGCUUCCUAUUUCUGGCUCAAUCAAUUCAACCAGUUCAACUCCGAUUUAAUGAUUUUAUAAAUUUUUAAUUAUAUUAACAUUAAAUAACUUGAAUAAUAUUAAUAUAUGAAAAAUAAUGAAAAAUCGGUCCAAAGGCCGGCUGUUUACUGAUCCAAUAGUGCUCCCAAGCAUGAAAAUAUAGCAAAAGGCAAUAUUUUGAAAUUGGGACCUACAAGUGAACUGGAUGAAUUUUUUAUUCAAUUAAUUUUGCGGUUCAAUCUCUGUUUAGUGAUUUUAUUAUUAUUUUUGUUUAUUUUAAAAUUAAAUUUUUUGGAUAAAAUUAAUAUAUGAGCUAGAAAUAAAAUUUUUGUGUAAAACCAGUUCAAAGACCUUUUUUUUCUUAUCGAUUUUGAUUCAUCUGAUCGAUUUUUGAUCGAAUUUGAUUGAUUCAAUUGAGUUUCUGGGUUAAAUAUAGAAAAACAAAUUAUUCGGGAAAUCACUAAACCUUUUUAAUAGUCAAGAUUUAGCCACUCAAUUAUUAAUAGUUUGUUGUUUUCCAUUAAACUGUUAAUAAUAUAAAUUUUGUGCCAUUUCGUCUAAUUUCACUAUUGACUCUGUUAGAUCUAAGGGUCUAUACAAGAUAUAUUAGUAAUGGUUAAAUCUGGUAGAGUUAAUGACAAAUUAGAUGGAAUUGCCUAAAAUUUAAAUUUUUAAUAAUUUAGUAGGUAAAAAUUACUAUUUAUAGCUUAAUGACUAAAACUUGACUAUUCAAAAAAUUUAAUGGUCGCAGGGAUAAUUUGCUCUAAGAUCUAAGCCAUGGUUGGUUUGACGGUGGCAAAAGGUACACAUUCCACGUUUUUCGGUAAAACGCGGUAUGGUAAAUAUUCUUAGAACUAUUGCCGUAAAUCUGAAAUCACCUAUAAAAGGGUCCAUCUUUGGGCAACCAAUUUCACCCCCAAAUAAAUCCGCGAAACUAACUGAGAAAAAGAAAAAGAAAAUGGCUGCCAGUUUACGACCACUGUUCUUAGCAAUAAUAUCCCUGCUGAUGAUAUCUUCAUUGACCAGGUCCUCAGAAGGCGCUGGAAUCGCAGUCUACUGGGGCCAAAAUGGCAAUGAAGGAAGCCUGGAAGAGGCCUGCCGUAGUGGCAACUAUGACUAUGUAAAUAUUGCCUUUCUGGUAUCCUUUGGCAGUGGCCAAACACCGGAACUGAACUUAGCUGGCCACUGUAUCCCGAGCCCAUGCACCUUCCUGAGUUCUCAGAUAGAGGUUUGCCAGAGCCUGGGCAUCAAAGUGCUCCUUUCUCUUGGUGGAGGUGGUGCCGGGGCAGGGAGAGGGCCAAUCCUGGCUUCUCCCGAGGAUGCUCGCGAUGUUGCAGCCUACCUCUGGAACAAUUACUUGGGCGGUCAAUCAGACUCUCGCCCACUUGGUGCUGCUGUUUUAGAUGGUAUAGACUUUGACAUCGAAUAUGGAUCGAACCUGUACUGGGAUGAUCUCGCCCGGGCACUCUCGGGAUACAGCACAGCAGAGAGAAAGGUGUACUUAUCUGCAGCACCACAAUGCUUCUUUCCUGACUAUUAUCUUGAUGCUGCUAUCAGAACUGGCCUCUUUGAUUUCGUCUGGGUGCAGUUUUACAACAAUCCGCUUUGUCAGUAUGGUACAACCACAGGCAAUGCCGAUAACCUCUUGAACAGUUGGAGUAUUUGGUCUGCCUCUUCAGGCGUUAAUAAAUUAUUCCUGGGAUUACCUGCAGCCGAAGCGGCCGCACCUGGUGGCGGUUACAUCCCACCUGAAGUGCUAGUUGAACAGAUUCUUCCCGUUGUGCAGAGCUAUCCCAAGUAUGGAGGGGUCAUGCUUUGGAGCAGAUACUAUGACCAAAACUACAGUACAGCAAUCAGGCCUUAUGUUAACG